rnacentral:lncRNA from 1 species
UAUUAACUUUCAAAAAAAAUACAUUUCACAAAUUACAGGGUGAUUGACUAAAAAUAGAAGUUCUCACGGACAAAUGAGCUACAAUGGAGGAAGGAAUGAAGGCAUCACCUAUGCUUUAACAGUCUGUAUGAACAUGAGCAGCAUAUUUUCGGUUACAAUGUACUCUGCGGGAAGCCAUCUUCGAUUAGGUGUCCGGCGUCCCCGAACUUCUCCAGGAUCCAGCGGCCAUCGGAACCAGAGACAUGGACAACGCUGAUUGAGGUGUUAGGAAUCCUGCCAACCGAGAUCGUUGGAUCGGCGUGCCUGCAGAUUUCCUCUAUGACUGCCUCAUGGGAGACGACGACCACCCGCUCACCUAUUAACGCAACACGCGACAGCUUCAGUUUGCAGCUUGAAAUUCACCACCAGGUGCAAGUUUUGACCACACAGAGAGCACAAGAAAUUACUAUGUGGAUCGGUGCUUACCUUUGUGCUUCUCCGCGAUUGCGUUCAAGCAGGGAACUAAGCGCUCGGAAAGUUGAUCAAGACUCUCCCCACCACCCUGUUCAGAAGGAGAUCAUGAGUAAUAUAUAGCAACCAACAUGGGGAAAGCACGCCUAGGCCUAGCUUUUACUUCAACUAAGACUAAGUACAACUUUGAGAGGAGAAUGGAAAUUAGUUACAGGUAUUUCUUGAUCUCUGCCACCGCGUGCGAAAACCUUGUAAGCUUCAGAUCUCUUGGCAUCGUCAAAGGUCCAACCUUGGAACAAUCCCCCGUGCCUUUCCGUCAGUGCCCGAUCAAUCACCAGCUGAAACAAACAGAAGCCGGAUGAUAUAUAGAACACCAAUAAUUCGUGAAGCGAGAAAAAUUAGAACAAACUAAUACUAGUAUUCAAAGAGUGUUCAUACAUCAGAAUCAGAUACGCAGCAAUGCGCUGCGAUCGUUUGCGCAGUCUCGGAAGCACGCUUCAAGUCAGAGGAGUAGACGGCAGCUGGCUUGGCUUCUUCCGACAGACGACGGGCAACCUUGAGGGUUUGAACAAAAUCAGAAUCACGUACAUAAUCUCAAGUCAUGACGAUCUCACAAAGUAUGGCGUACCUUGGCAGCUUGCUGCCUACCAGUUUCGUUCAGCUCCUGAUCGAUCCGUCCCUGUUGAAACUUAAAAUAAGCCUUAACACAUGUUGUAUUGCAUCGCAGAGGGAGAAUCAUAUCUAAGUGAUGCGAUAAGUAGCAAGCUGUGACAGGACAGGAUGAACAAGAAGCGACCUGAAUGAUGCGGGAGACGUUCCAAUCCGUCUGUCCAUGGCGCACCAACACCACCUCCGCGAAGUGCUCGCCGUGCGUCGACGCAGGUGCCAUGAUCGAUCGGCCGGCGUUACUGCUGCAGAGGGAAGGGGAGAUGGUCGCUCUUGCUGUAGCUGCCUUGCAGCGGUUCUUUGAAAUCUGGAACCUCUCUGAUCUCUUGUGCUGUAUGAUCUAGCUGCCCUGCAGAGGGAAGGGGCGACUUUAUAAAAGGCCAGGCACAAGAGAGGAAACGCCAGGCACAAGAGAGGAACGCCGCGGCGAACGCUAUCCAUCUCCAUGUACGCGACGCGAAGUAGGCCAUUUCCGAAGGGGCGAAGUAACGCACGCACGCCACCCUCUUCUUGCUUCGACUCCAAUGCAUCUCCAUGCCAACACGGCGGCGGGGUUGACUAACAAAUUAGAAACACGGUUUGAGCCACAACAGCCAUUCCAACAGCAGGUUGGUUUCCAUUCUAGCCAAGCCAUCCAUCGGACGUGUCUUUCCAACAGCAGCUUCCGGAAGGCUCUGGAAGGCUCUGGAAUCACAAGCAUAAAGCCUGCGCCUGGUCGGCGGACAAGCAUAAAACCUGAGUUGUCUUGUUCAUGAUAAGUACAAACCCCCGUGCACUUCUUCUCCACCGAGACCCCCGCGCCGGCCCUGCUUUCCCGUCCGUCCGAUCGAGCGGGUCCGGCCGUCCACAAGCAAGUUGGUAAGCGCAUGGAAUUUUGCAAAAAACGCCCUUCAGUUCUCCGCUAAUCUACUUCGGAUCUAGGGAGGCCCUUUGCCAACCGUAACCACGUUCGAUUUAUUUGCGGCACACCCCAUUGGUUCAAAAAUAUUUCAACACCAAGAAGAGAAAAUUCCAAUUCCACGUCGCUUUUUAAAAAAUCACCUGCUGGUCAUUUUGCGAAGAACCCCCAACCGCAACCGUGCCGCUAACACACGCUUGGUCUCGAGCCGCCGCCCCCUCCUAAUUCUCUCCGCAUCCCUCUCUUUCUCACCCUCCCGCCCUCCCCGACGGCCGCCGCACACUUUAGUAGGCAUGGUUAGUGUCUUUCGAUGUUCUUAAUGUCUGCUACUGGUUCAGAUUUAUUUCUUUCCCCUUCUAUAUUUAACUAGGUUUGGUAGUAGCUUGUAGCCUUGCCUUAUUCAACCUUAGCAUCAGUAAAUGUAGGUAAUGGAGUUAUAAAAAACUGAUAAACCAACCACUUCAAUAAAUUGGUGUCUUCCCAAUUCCAACUCUUGGUGCUUACACCAAAAGCAAGCAUCGGACUGAAAAUUUCUAAAAAAAUUAGCUUCAAGAUCACUAGCUACUGUAUUUCGAUCAUUUGAUUUCUUUUCCUUUUUUUUGCAAAAGACCAUUUGAUUUCUUGAUGGUGAUGAGUUAACUGUGUUGUGAGGUGAGACAAUCGAUUGCCUCACAUAAUUCCUGAUAUUUAGACCUUUAGUAAAACGGCUUUCUGAGAAUACUGUGGAUUGCUUCAAUUUUUACAGCUAAUACUUGCAAACUCUGCAUGUGUCAUUCAGACAGCUUGAUUGCAUAUGACCUCCCUCAGUAAUACAUUAAUUUUAUGACAUACUUUUCAGGUUAGGUUGGAGAAAAAGAUGGCAAACUGAAGACUACGCCAAUAAAAACAAAUUUUCAGCUUAUGCUUCAAUAAUUUUCUAAAUCCUAUUGUCAUUAAUUAGUUUGAAGAAACGAUGGGAUCUGUAACCUCGUAAAGCUACACAUUUAUAUGGAGAGACUCAAAAGACUUUCUGGUUUGCGCAUGUCAGCAGUGAUUAAAACAUUGCAUAGUUCUUUCUAUUUAUUAUCAUGUAGUUUCAACUUUUGUACCAGUUGAUUUGUCUAUGAAAUUAUGUGCACCGGAUUAAGGAAAGGUUAUGCCAAAAAUUGACGUAGAAAAUGAGGCUGUGAUUGUACGAGUUCGAAAUGGUGCUAGCUCAAUGACAACAAGACGUGAGCAAUAUAAUCUAAUUAUCCAAUUUCCAUCGGUGGACAUGUGAUUUCCACCAUCGAAACUCUAAAAUUACAUUAAAAAUUGGGCCGAAGAAAUUAUUACCCAGCCGUGGGAAGCCUGCGUGAACCGGUGAAACCUAAUUAUUACAUAUGUUGAUGUUGAAUGUGUUGCUAAAUCUUAUUAUUUGUUCUAUAAACAUGGGUCCAUGAUAUUGUGUAUUCUAUUUUGACCAUGACACACAUACAUAUCAAGAUGCAAGGUGCUGUGAUGAAUUAUGUCCUUGACCUCGAGAAGAAUUGUUAUCUUCGUGCAGAUCUCGCAAAAUCCAACUCCAGAAUCAUGUCCUUGACCUCGAGAAGAAUUGUUCUCUUCAUGCCUUAAGCUCCAGGACAUCUUUCUUGCUCCACUAUGUGGUUCUUCGUUAAUGCUGUCACACUUUUGAUCUCAUCAGAUGAUGCUUCACCUUAUUCUUGCGAGAAAAGAACUAGGAAACCAAUGUGAUUUUCUGAUUCAGGUAUCAUUCAAGUAGCUUUUGAGACUGUAUGUCAUGAAAGAAAACCAUUUGUAUUUUACACCUUGUUGAUCUAUGCAUGAUGAUAUCAGCACUUUGAGCUUACAGUAGCUCCACUACUACUGCUGAUAGAGUUUGUUAUAUCAGUCUACCCAGCUACCAACAUACCGACACAAAACUGGACAUUCAUAAAUUUAUUUUGAAAAUUUCAAAGCCAUCCUUUGGGACUUGGCUGUGGAAAUAUUGCUAUAACGCUAGAGCAUCACUGGAGUAAAUUGCCAAUAGUUCUUAAAAGUCAACAGCAGGUUUUUUCCCUUUUUAACUAUGUGGGGGUGUUUGGUUCCCAUGUACUAAACUUUAGUCCACUAUUUUGGUGCACUUUUAAUCCCUAAACACCCAAACAGGUAGACUAAAGUUUGGACUAAAGACUUUAGUCCUCUAGUCCACAAAACUGGACUAAACUAGACUAAAGGAUGGUGGGGACACACCUGCCCCUCAUUUAUUGCCCUCUCUCCCACUCGGCUCCCUCCUGCUGCCUCCCGCUCGGUCCCCGCCACCGUUGCCGCCUGCCGUCCUCCCUCCCGCCCGCUCUCUACCACGCGCGCCGAAUGCGGCGGCGGAUCCUGGCCGCACGGAGGCAGUCCCCCUGCCUAGUCUGCUGCGGUGGCGGUGCCAGUGCGUGGUGGGUAGACGAGCGACGCCCCCGGCCUCCACCCGCACCCGCUCCCCCUCAGCUCCGGGCGCAGCCAACGGCUGCCGCUGAGGGUGCCCCACGCGGGGUGCCUCCGUGCGAUGGCGGGAGCCUGCGGCGGACCUCCAUAGCCAUAGGGCGGCGGUGCUGGGGGGCUCGUCGGUGCUCAACCCCGCCCAUGGCAGUGGCUGCCCGUGGUUUGGGUUGUGUUUUGGGGAUUUUGAUUUGGCGCAAGGGAUUGAUCUGCGCCGGGCACUCAUCCCCCACCACCGCCUCGCGCGACGGAGGAUCCGCCGCCGCAUCCGGUGCGCGCAGCGGGGAGUGGCGCAGCGACGGGGAGGCCUGCGCCUUGAGUGCCAUGUGGGCACAGGAGCGGAGGGGAGGCUGGGAGGGAGCGCCAGAACCAGAAGUUGGCAUAGGGUUACUGGCAGCAGGGGUAUAAAUGUCUUUGUUCAACAGCAUUUAUGGACUUUAGUCCAUUUUAGUCCAUGGAACCAAACAGGGGUGGGACUAAAGUUUAGUCCAUGGACUAAAGGAACCAAAUAGGGCCUAACUAGAAAUAUACAUUGGAUGUUCUCACAACGGCUGUUCUGCCCGAGCCCUACAGAAGAAGGCACCAUAGAGUCCAAGAGACCAGCCCCCACGUCGCCCCCCACCGGGCCACUCGGGCGGCGACCACCCUCUAGCCGCCGUCAGCCACCUCCACCAACCUCUCCCUCGCUGUCGCAGGAGGAAACCACUAGUAGCCUGUGCGGCUCCCUAGGAUGGUGAUGGCGGGGUCUCUCUCGUCGCGGCGUGCUUCGGGUGGAACGCGGCAGCGGCCUCCCUUUUCCCGGCAGCAGCACGCUCGUCCCUGACCCGCGAUGCGUGCUUCCGUGGCCUCGACGACCGGAUCCGGUGACGUCGAGGGUGGGUCCGGCGAGCGCGUAGCGGGCCUAGCCGGGGAGCUCGUGCACCACAGUGGCGGCCCUCAGUGGUGGCGGGGGCCCUUUCCGGCGGCCGGCGUGUGGAUCCGCGACAUUGGAGGCCGAUGCCUGUGAGGCCAGGGCGGAUCAGGCGAACCCGUGGCUAGGGCAUGGCUCGGCCACCGUGGGCCAUGCUGACUCCCGGCGGCGGCGUGCGGCCACAGUACAGGGGCGGAGACGGAGGAAGGGGGCCACACAGGGAGCGGCUUUGGGGCACAGGCUGCAGUCGACGUGGGAGGUUAGGUCAGGCAUUCGCAGGGCUAGGGAACCCGUGCUGUAGUGGCCUGGAUGCAAUUGCGGCUGGCGCACAUGGAGGCCGUGAGGUGCAGCAGCGCCGGCAAGGACGUGCGGCUAGAGGUCGUGCAAGUGAGGAGGUGCGGCGGUGGCGUGGAGGCCACUCGUGUGGUGCCGUUGCGGUGGUGCGAGGAUCUACGCCGAUGGUGGUGGUGAGCCAUUAUCGCGGGAAACUUUUUGUGUGUGCACAUGGUACAACUGAGAUUUUGGCGGUGGCAAGGUGUAGGUGAAGUUAUUGGAGUAGCUCGGUGGAACCAUGUCACCUCCGAUGGCAAAGCAAGUCCAGAUCCUUGGUGUGGAGUCCAGCGGCGGAAGUGGCGAGACCCGUUCGCUUUAAUUUGGUGUGUCCGAGGAGUGGUGUGCGGCGGUGGAUGUGGUGAUGCCCCCACGCGUUUCGAGUUGCCUUGGAGGGUCAGGAUCCGGUGCGGCGUUUUGAUUGUUUGGUGUGUACGGUGCGGCAAUGGUGCUUCGGCGUUGGGUCCUACAGAGCAAUGACUUUUUCGGUGUGGUGCAGUGUGCUCCUCCUUUAACUUCUACUGAUACAAAGUCGUGGAUUGGGAGAUCGAUGACUGUGUGUGUAUGACCUGAGGACGACAGAGGCACGGUGGAGAAACCUUGGUAGCUAUACAGCUUGCAGCAGACUGCGGCGGCCAGUCCUGCAUGGCAGCGGCUGGUUCAGCGUGGGACAUCGUUGGGGAUAACAGUGCUGGCGAUAAGGGCUACUUGUCGGUUUUUCCUGCUGGGUGGUGGUGGUGUGGCGUGGUGGUCGCUGCUCAAGCUUUAGCGUUGCGUGGCUUGCAUCGAUGUCUCAAUCUAACUGGUCGUAGAGUUCUUUUUUGUUUUGAGUUGGGUUGAGUCGGCAUUUCUAUUGGGAGCUACUUUGGUGACUCUGUUGGUGUACCUAGUCUGGAAUCUUUUUUAUUUUUAAUAUAAUCCGUAGCUCUCCUAACUCGUUCGUUUCGAAAAAAAUACAAUGGAUGGUAUGCUGCACACUAAACUAGCCACUAGGCUGAUGGCUAAUGCUCAUGUUUCUGUUCUGUUAUAGCCACUAGACUGAUGACCUAUGAUCAUGUUUAUACAUAUGAGAAUUAUGACGGCAGUAAACAAUAAACUUUCGUGGCAAAAGAAAAGAAUAAAAUGAAGGGUCGUAGACAUGCCUGUUUCCAAUUUCUCUCUUGACAGGCUAACAUUGAUGAGAGGACUACUUAGACUCCCUGGUACAGUUCUCCUAGGAGAGGCCUCUGAAUCUGCUGAAAUGUCUAACUGAAGGACUCUACAAAAUAAAAGAGAAUGACUGCAAAUUUAUUUGCUGAAAGCUUGCAUCAAUCAUCAAUUACAAUGCAUUGUGUUAACAGUAGGCCAUGUUAGCUAUUAUGUAUCAAAAAGACCAAAUUAAAUUUGAACAUGAGGAUCAAGAAAGAGAUGAAACGACCUACUAUGAGCCAAGAAAUUAUCUGUAUGUUUAAACUCUAAAUUAUCAAACAAUUCUAAAUUAAGCUGGGUUACAUAAAAGGAAAAGGUGUGUACUCCAUAUGAGCAUGGGCUUCCUACAUUUAAGGUACCGAAUUACUGAUAAAGAAAACAUUGCAGAGAAGAGUGACAUAUACACAAUGAAACUGGAUCGCACAGAUGGUAGCAUGGCGCAGGGUAAGAAGCAGGCACGGAGUGACGUUUUUUAAAUUGAUUUAAUUUAGAAUAAAUACAACAAUAUUCUCACGUGGUAUCUCUGCUGCUGCACAAAUAAUAGUAACACAUAAAAGGGGAAGGUUUGAGAUAACGAGGAAUGGCUACCGAUGGAUGGGACUAAAUUAAAGUUAUCUAUUCUAUUGCCUCCAACUCCAAAGCAACAGGGUAGAAUCAAACACUUUACACUUCAGGGUUACAUUCACAACUGCCUAUGAGCAGGCAUUUACAAGCAGCAGUGCAAUGCUUCAAAUUUCAGUGUGGUAUUGUUUACCCACAGGAAUUUCUAUACAAGUUCAUUAUCAUUGCACUGACAAGUGAGAGCAUUGUAGUAAUGGAAGAAUGGAGGCAUGUUCAACCGUAUCGAGGACUCGAGGUAGCCGAUUGUAUUGCUGAAGGACCGGAAAGGCGACCGGAGGGGGUGAAUGGGAGCUGAUUCAAAUUUUCUCAAAGAACCUCGGCUAAAGUCCCAACAUAAUCCACAAAAUUCUCUUCUAGCAAUAUCAAGUCCCCUUAGCUAUGCAGGAGCUAAUGGAUGGACCUAGGAAUAUUGCUAGGAACCGAAUUUGAGACUAGCAGAAGCAAGAAAAAGCCCAAACAAGUAUCGGGAGAAGAAAUUCGAAAACCAACUAAAAUUUGGAAAAUUCCGAAAAAUCCUUCGGAAACUUCCGAACUUUCGGAAAUUUCCGGAAAACCUUCGGAAAAUUGCAGAACUCCGGAAAACAGCCUUUGUGAGGAAGUGGGAAAAAUCCAAAACUCGAUCAAACGACCUCCAAAAUCACGAAAUUUGAACCAUAGACUCACAACAACAUACCAAAGGUAUUUCCCAAAGGCUCAAGUCAAAAAGCCCAAGAAUUGGUAAAUAGAUUCAAAGGAUUUGGGAAGGGCACAAGAAAGGGGAUUUUCAGGGAAUCUCAAAAUUCAAGCCAAAUUUGUGAGGGAUUUGAGGGAGAUCACAUUAUAGAUGCUCACACGGGUCACAGCAACAAUUUCUCCUAACAAAUCUCACGGGAUUUGGGCUCAAACUCGAAGAACGCAAAAUCCCAAAAAAUACCUCUGAAAAUACUGAGAAAGAUAAAUUUUAGAUUCAAAGAGGAUGGAACAAUAUGGCACAAAAUUGAUCUUUGGAUUACUCCACCAUGUUCGGUUACAAGCCACUCCUAAGCACAAUCCAAACUAGGAUGACAAAAAGAUCAACUCACACCUCUCUCCCUCUGCCAAAGGCUCUCACAAAGCAAAUGAGAAAAUCCCCACCAAAACAACCAAAGGGAUGGCUACCCCAACCAGCCAUCUCUCCUAUAUAUAGGCAUCUGGAAAAUAUCCAGAAUGCCCUUACAUGAAGCACACAACUCAAAUACCCUCCAGGGCUAAAAUUGUCCAACGUUUUCCUCGUACAUCGGAUGGACCCGGCGCCUUCACGACUUCGCUUCGCCUCAACGCAAGCUUCGUGUGGUGUCACGCAUCCUCUGACUCGACGCCGUCCAGCCGCACCGGAAUCGUCCCCCGAUUUUGAGGCCAAACUGGUCAAACCCUCUUGCACACCCCGCAGGCGUGACUCAUCCCUGAUUUUGAGGCCAAUCCGAUCAAACCCUCUCGCAUGCCCUGCAAGGCAUGAUUCACCCCCUUGUUUUGAGGUCAAACCAGUCAAACCCUCUUGCACACCGCGUACGACGUGACUCACCGAUGUUGACGCGUGUCUGAUCUCCGCCAAGCCUUCGACGCCUCCAAGUCUUUCGCUCCUGGCUCCCGGGCCACCUACUCGACUCGCCUCCGUCCCGCUUGACUCGACCGACGCCGUCUCCAUCUCAUCCGUGUACUCUUGCUCUUUCGUGCACCAUGUGGAUCGUCCAUGACUCCGCUCGGACUCCUCGGGUCCCUCGGUCCAAACAUUCAUGCCCACCCUUCACAACGCUAGUACAUUGGUAUGAACCUUUCGCUUGACCUUCACCUCAUGCCAUCGACCGCCAUGUCGCAUCCUACACCUGCACAUCACAAGCCAAGAUACACAACACACAAGAUAUGUUUUAUACAAACACCGCAACACAACUCACACAUCUGGUUAGCCGUUAGCAUAAUCAAGUGCAUAUGGAAUAUGGACUCAACCGGUAAAGCCUCAAAUCAUCUAGUUAAUCACUCAUCACAAAUAGACCAAGACACAUGUCAACUUGGUCUCUCAAUCUCCUCCUUGAUAAGUGCAUUGACAAAAGAUGAUUUGAAAGCAAAAGAGAACUCAUUCAAGUGCCCAAAAGCCAAAUAAAAGGAAACACAAGGCAACUUGAUAUGAAAAAGGAUCAUGCAAGCUCCGAACAAAAAACUCUAGGUUCCCAAAGAAGAGACAAAAAACUUAACACAACCGAAGAGUCAAGCAAAAAACACAAGAGCUUCAUGAAUCCCAAAAUGCCAUCAAAGCCAUUUCAAUAUUUGUCAAACGCUCAUCACAAUUAAAUCAAGGUUCAUAUCAACUUGAUUUUCUCAAUCUCCCCCUUGAUGAGUGUGUUGAAACCAUUCAAGCACAAAGAAAUGGUUUGAGAGGCAAAAGUCAAAAAUCUCAUCCAAGUGAUCGAAAGCUAAGUAAAAACUAAGAUCAAAGUCACUUGAGAUGAGAACAACCAUAAAAGCCAAGUUGUGAAACCAAUUAGGCAAAGCUCCCAUUCAAGUGAUCGAAAGCCAUGUAAACGCUAUGAUUAAAGUCACUCGACAUGAGAAGCAUCACAAAGACCAAAUCAACUUGGAAAAGUCUCAGUUCCCAAAGACAUGGGCAACGGCUCGACACAACCGAGACAAAGAACACAUGAUCUCUCAAGAAGAGGCAGAAAGGGCUCAACACCAAUCAUGUGAAGAUCGAAAACACAGGAUCCCUCAAGAAGAGGCAGAAAUAGCUCAAAACCAAUCAUGUGACGAUCGAAAACUCAAACCAAAUGCCAGCUCCUCAAGAAGAGGUAAAAAGCUCAACACGACCGACAAAAGAGCAAAAGAGAGCACAAAACUAGCACAAAGCUUAGAAGCUACCCCUGAACACAUGCACUCCCCCUGAAAACAUGCCACAAUGAAAUGCAUGCACAAAAGCAAAAGAAUGCAUGCUCCCCCUCAAAUGCAAAACUCCCCAUUAAAUGCAAGACUCCCCCUUAAAUGUAAACAUCAAGAUCGUAUGAGAGCACAAAAUGCAUGCCAUGGAAUGUAAAACUUACCAAGCUUCUCAAAUAUAACACAAAGCACUUACAAAGGCUAGAAGUGAGAUAAUGCACAAACAAAUAGAUCAUAAAGAGCAAUUCAUCGCCAUCAAGAUGGNNNNNNNNNNNNNNNNNNNNNNNNNNNNNNNNNNNNNNNNNNNNNNNNNNNNNNNNNNNNNNNNNNNNNNNNNNNNNNNNNNNNNNNNNNNNNNNNNNNNUGACAAGUUUUGCAGUUUAUAAAAAGUAUCACCACCAUGAGCAAGUAUCUAGUCAUGUCAUUCAAGCAAGAAGCAAACUAGGCCAUCAGAGCUCAUACAAGGAAGAUACAUUCUCAACAAGAGAUCAUUGCAAACACCCACAUAUGCAUCACAAGUCAUGUCAAGGCUUGUUGAAACCAUGUGCCUACUUCUUUUUGGUAGACAUCAUGUAACAACUAAGCAAGCAAGGAUAUCAACAUUAAGCACAAAAACUUGGUGAAUUACUGAAUUUUUCUUAUCAUAAUUUUUCAUCAUUCACAUUAAACAAGUUACAUGAAGUGCCUUUGCGGCACAAAGAAUCCAUGCUUCCCCAAGGAAUGCAUUAUGGGCUAAAUAUUUGCAAUGAUACCUAAAUCUUUGAUCCAAUUGAAAAGAACAUAGAUUCCAAGUAGAAGCUAAACAUGGAGCUAGCAUUCAAGCAAGAGCAAUGCAUAAAUAGGUAGCUAGUCAGGGGUGAUAAGCAUUUCAGAAUUCAUUAUUCAAGAUUAACAUUUGAUUCAGAAAAGCAUUUAGCUCAACAUGGUUAUAUGACAAUAUCAUCAAGAGAAUAUGCUGCACAUUGCUACACAAUCACCAACCAAUGCACUAGCUCACAAAUAGCAUAAGGAAAUGCUAAGGAUAUAUAGGAGAAGCUCAUCUAGUUCAAAGUGUACAAGGUGCAAUAUGAUAUAAAUGCAAUGCAAUGCUAAAAGAGAUGGGGCUCAGCUCAAAAUCAAGAAAGUUCAUGAGGGUCAAACCAAUCUAGGAAAAGCUCCGUUGCCAAAGAAAAACUGCCAAGGAUCCCAAUUGAGUACCAUAGAAAGGAUACCAAUUGAAGGAUCAAAAAUUGAUAUCACUUGAAGAAGAUGGAAUCCAAUUGAAAGAUCAAAUGUGAUAACAAUUAAAAGAUCAAAAGCGGAUAUCAAAAAUCAAAGCAAGUCCUUGGUCCAAACUCCCCCUCGAAUGAAGCUGAACUCCCCCUCAACCAAAGACACCUAGCAAAGAAAAGCUAGAAAAAGAAGGGGUAAAAGAAAAGUUCUAACUCCAAUAAAAAAAGAAGAGAAAAUGCAACCUAAAGAUAAGGGAAGCCCAAAAACAAAAUAAAGCUCAAUUCAUGUCACACAAAGCAAUGAUGAUACCAAUGAGAGGAAUUAGAGCAUUGCAACAUGAUUCUACAUUUAUGAAUAAAAGAUUGGGCAAGCAAACAUGUCAACAAGGUGCGAAGGAUUAUACAAAGAUACUAAGCUAAAAUGAUACCAAAUGAACAAUAUACCAUACCCAAUACAAAGACUAAGCAAAAGCAUGGUACGAUGUUCAUGUGAAUCAUCCACCAAGAUAUAUUAAAAAGCUAGCAUGACAAGAUACACAUGAAGAUCACACAUGCUAACAUGAAUAGGUGGCUAGCCUACCAUGGUAUAUUCACAGCAUGAUACAAGUAUAAAACUUGCAAAAGAGUCCACAAGUGAAUAGUAUACACGAAAGGAAAAACUCACUAUACAAGUGUACAUCCAAACAGUGUGGAGAGCCAUCAAGUCUUGAUCACCUCAAGCAAAAGAUCAAGUCCCUUCGAGCUCAUGUCCUCCACCUGCAUCCCCAUACCUACACAUGAGGGGACAAAGAAGACCGAGUCUUGCAUCCCAAAGGGUUAGUAAGCAUAUACUUGGGAAUCCAAAACUUAGUCACACGGGUAAAAGAUGCACUCAACUUAUCAUGUGGGUUAGCAUGAUGCAAAUGCCGGUUCAAAUGAGAUGAUUUUGAAAUACCCUUGGAACCAUGCCUCAAAGAAGCAACUUGAGAAGAAGAACGAGUGCUACCACUAGCAAAAAGACAAUGAUCCCCCGGGGUCUUAAGAGAAGAACCAACACAAGCACCAUGAGAACCAUGGCGUGGACCAACAUAAGAAUAACUAGAAGCAUGUCCACGAGCAUGACCUAACUCACUAGAAAAGUAGUCAUAAAACCCAUCAAUGAAAUGUGGCUUCUUACUAGGCUCACAAGUGCUCAUGCCAUGAGAUGGGCUAUGAACAACCAAAGGCCUAGAAACACGAGUUCGUCACAUUUGUCUUGCAUGACGAUAACAAAAGCUAUCUUGAUGCCCAUCUUUCUCAUAAUAGGAGCAAUGGUACAAAGGCCUUUUUGUAGGCACGGUCCGAGAGGAUGAAUCAUCAUUCUCAUUCAAGUGAGAAAUCCCUUGGGACUUAGAGCAAAAAGCAUCAACAACACCAUUUGACUUGGUGCCCAACAUUAGGUUCACACGUGCCAUGGGAAAGGCUACAUGGCUUUCUAAAAGCUUUGGCACGCACACAUCGCUCAUGCUUGAUAUGGCGAAAACAAAACUCAAUGGUAUGCCCAUCUUACAAAAGGUGCAAUGAAACUUUGGUUUGGGAGUAUGAGUUACAAAAGUGUGAGAAGCACCCUUGCCACUUGAAUUAUCUUGAGCAAUACUGGAAGAAGCAACAAGCUUAAGAGUAGCUAUAGAAGAGCUAUCCAAAGCACUAGCACAAGUACUAGCAUCCAAAGACUCACGCUCAAUAGAAGAAAGCAACUCCAGUUGGGAAGAAGCAAUUUUGGAAACACCAACAUCGGAGUGAUAAGAAUUGCAAGAAUCAAAAGACUUAGCACUAAGAAUCUUGCAUCUUGUGGCUAAAACCUCAUUUUCAUGUUUGAGACGAUCACAAGUACCACAUGGAGCAUUUCUCAAAUUAUCCAUCUCCUUUUCAAUACACUUAGCAUAUGUAGUACGCAAGAGUUUAUUUUCUUUCUCAAGGUUGGCACUCAUCUCAUUGCGCUCAACCAACUUGGCACUCAUAUCAUCGCGCAUUUGCUUCAAAGUUAAAACUUCAUUUUCCAAUUCAAUGCAUGAUGUGCAAAUAAGACCGCAUGAACAAUCAUCAUCAUUCACAUCACGCACGAUAUCAUGAUUAUCACAAGAAGUAAGGCAAGCAUCAUCAUCAAGAACCAAAGAGCACAUGCUACAAGGCAUAGACUUUAUUUCACAAAUUUCAACCCUAGCAUGCUCAAUUUGUUCAACACAUGUGGUAUGAGUCAAUUUUAAGUCAUUAAUUUCAGCAAACAAAGACUCAUAUGAAACACAUGGCAAAGAAGCAUUAGACUUCAAAAGAGCAAUUUCAUCCUAGUCUUAUCAAGAUCAUUAUUCAAAGCAACACAUGAAUUACAUGGCAUAGAGGUAUUGGAUUUCAACAUUGCAUUUUUAGAUUUUAAAGCAUCAUAAUCAAUUGAGAGCUCAUCAAGUAGUCUUCUACAAGAUUCAAGUUGCUUGUCACCAAGAUAAACAUCUCUUUUUAGUUUCUCAUUUUCAAUGUGCAAAACAUCACAAGAUUUGCAUGGUAGAGGUAAGCUAGACUUGCAUGAAAUUAAAGCAUUCACAUUAUCAAGUCUAGACAUGUCCAAAUUUUUCUUAAGCUUAGCAAUCGUCUCGCCAUGAGCACAAAGGCAAGUGAACAAACCAAUUAUACCUUGGGAGAGUUUACCUCUACUCAUCUUGUGAAGCUUGCGUUGGAGAUCAUCUUCUUGAGGCAUCUCAUCCAUCAAAAGACGCAUCAAUGCCAUCACUUCAUCAUCCUUGUUUAGAUCAUCCCGCUUCUUUCUGCUUUGAUGUGACCACACCACCUAGGGACAAAGAACCAAUAGAACAAGAGCUUGGUGCCAAAACUCAAAGCACCGGUUAGGAUUAGCCAAAAACAAGCUCAAAUCGUGAAAACCAAAUCCGCAAGCAAAAGCGCUCUUUACCUUGUCGCCCCGUGGAUCACAAAGCUGAUUAAAGUUGUGUGAUUCUUAACCAAGCUCUAAUACCAAUUGAAGGACCGAAAAGAUGACCAGAGGGGAGGUGAAUGGGAGCUGAUUCAAAUUUUCUCAAAGAAUCUCGACUAAAGUCCCAACCUAAUCCACAAAACUCUCUUCUAGCAAUAUCAAGUCCCCUUAGCUAUGCAGGAGCUAAUGGACCUAGGAAUAUUGCUAGGAACCCAAUUUGAGACUAGUGGAAGCAAGAAAGAGCCCAAACAAGUAUCGGAAGAAGAAAUUUGAAAACCAACACUAAAGUUUGGAAAAUUCCGGAAAAUCCUUCGGAAACUUCCGGACUUUCGAAAAUUUCCGGAAAACCUUUGGAAAAUUGCAAAACUCUUGAAAACAGCCUUCGUGAGGAAGUUGGAAAAAUCUGAAACUCGAUCAAACGACCUCCAAAAAUUAGAAAAUUUAAACCAUAGACUCACAACAACAUACCAAAGGUAUUUUCCAAAGGAUCAAGUUGAAAAGCCCAAGAAUUGGUCACUAGAUUCAAAGGAUUUGGGAAGGGCAUAAGAAAGGGGAUUUUCGGGGAAUCUCAAAAUUCAAGCCAAAUUUGUGAGGGAUUUGAGGGAGAUCACAUUAUAGAUGCUCACACGGGUCAUAGCAACAAUUUCUCCUAACAAAUCUCACGGGAUUUGGGCUCAAACGCGAAGAACGCAAAAUCCCCAAAAAUACCUCCAAAAAUACCGAGAAAGAUAAAUUUUAGAUUCAAAGAGGAUGGAACAAUAUGGCAUAAAAUUGAUCUUUGGAUUACUCCACCAUGUUCGGUUACUAGCCACUCCUAAGCACAAUCCAAACUAGGAUGACAAAAAGAUCAACUCACACCUCUCUCCCUCUGCCAAAGGCUCUCACAAAGCAAAUGAGAAAACCCCCACCAAAACAAGCAAAGGGAUGGCUACCCCAACCAGCCAUCUCUCAUAUAUAUAGGCAUCCGGAAAAUAUCCAGAAUGCCCUUACAUGAAGCACAUAACUCAAAUACCCUCCAAAGGUAAAAUCAUCCAACGUUUUCCUCCUAUAUCAGAUCAUUGCUUACCCUUGUGCUUGUCAGCUAUCAUGUUCAAGUAGGAAACACAGCGCUUGGAAAGUUGAUCAAGACUCUCCCCACCAACCUACCAAAAAAAUGAACGGAUUAGAUAACUAGUAUACAACAACCACAAGGAAAAAUGACUGUCACUGAUUCAGAAGGAUUCAAGGUAGCUUUGGGAGGAGAAUGGAAGGUAGUUACAGGAAUUUCUUGGUUUCUGUCAUCUGAUGAGAAAGCCUUGUAAGCUUCAGGCUUGGUACUGACGGCAUCAUCAAACUUCAAACCGUGGAGAUCUCCCAUGUGCCUUUCUCUCAGUGACUGAUCAAACACCAGCUGAAACAAACAGUAGUUAAUUUAUUUAAAACAGCAAUUCGAAAAAUUAGCAUACAUUAUGGAGACAUGACAAGCAGUAAUUCAAGUUGUCCCAGAGGAUUCGUACAUUGGGUACAUGGCAAGCUAUUGCGAUAGUUUGUGCAGUCUCGGCAGCGCGCUUCAAAUCAGAGGAGUACACAGCAGCUGGCUUGGCUUCUUUGGACAACCGACGGGCAAGCUUCAGGUUUUUUUUAAUAAUUGAUAAAAUCAGAACCACGUAAAAGCAUGAUUCCGAGACAUAACCGCACAAAGUAUAACUACCAUGAUAGCUUGCUGCCUACGGAGUACCAGUCUCAUUCAGCUCCGGAUCCAUAAAGAGUUGAAUACCGAGCCUCGUGAAGGAGGAGAAAACUAAUGGAACAAUGGUGAGAAGGGACUUCUAUACUGAAGUCUGAAUUGCUGAUACUGUUAGCAACAAGCACCUGAUUCAACUGGAGGAGCCAUUUCAAGCAUAAUCAUUGAAAUCACAAAACAGUUUUGAAAAGAUCGAAUCAUCCGGAAAAAAGGAGGAUUCUCUUUUUCCUUCUUCCUCGGUACAAAUUGCAGGUGGAGAAGGACAGGGAGAGAACUGACCUGAAUGAUGCGGGAGGCGUUCCACGACGUCUCUUCAUGCCGCACCACCACCACCUCCGCGAAGUUCUCGCCGUCCUGCGAUGCAGGUGACAUUGCUCGAUGGGCGCUAGCCGCUGCAGUGAAGAGGAGAGGGACGGACCUUCCAUCCAGGUGCUUUUGUUCCAAUUGACUUUGGAUCCGAGACUAAAGUGUCUUUAGUCCCGGGUCAAAAAUGAUGCACCGAAGGCUACCGACGGAAGGGGCUUUAGUCCCGGUUGUAAAGACCAACUGGGACUAAAGCCUCCCCUUUAGUCCUGGUUGUAACUGCUAAAAGAUCUGGUACCGAUGCCACCCCUUUGUCCCAGUUGGUAAUUCCAACUGGGACUAAAUCUUUUGUUCCGGUUGAAUAGACCAACCGGGGCAAGGGGGCUUUAGUCCCGGUUGGUAGCUUCAACCGGAACAAAACGCCCUUCACGCGCCUCCUUCUCUUUCCACGUUAUCUUUCUCCUCACAUCCUUCCUUCCUUAUCCUCGCACAACACUCCUCUCCACUUCUUAUCCACCGACGCCUCCUCUCCUCUCUACUCCUUAUUCACUGGCACCUCCUCUCCUCCACUCUCCUCUCUGCGCUGCCGCCACCCCAUCCCCCUCUGCUGCCCCUCCCCUUCCCCCUCUGCUCGCCCCUCACUAGUAGUGAGCGACAACGGGGCGAGGGCAGGGUAGUGGCGCGCGGGGGAGCGGUGUCGACCAGCUAGAGGUGUCCCCAUGAGCUAAUGCGGCUGGGCAGCGGGUGGCCGAGCGGUGCCGGGCAGGCUGCAGUGGGCGAGGGCGGAGCGGAGGUGGACAGAGGUGGGUGGCGGCAGGUGAAGGCGGAGCCGAGGUUGUCGGUGGCGGAGCGGAGGCGGGCGGCGACUGGCGGAGGCGAGCAGUGGCGGAGCCGAGGCAGUGGCGGCAGGCGGAGGCCCAUUUUUUUUUAUUUUUUACCUUUUUAGUCCGGGUUGGUAAUACCAACCGGGACUAAAGGACGUCUUUAGUCCCGGGUGAAUGACUCAUGACUAAAGGACCUCCCCUUUUAUCUCGAAAACUUAGUCCCGGUAGGAUUUUCGUGAUCUAUGGCCCUAUCCAACCUGGACUAAAGUCGCAUUUUCCACCAGGGGCAGCAUCCGGAAGGCUGGAAUCACAACCACCUCUCUUGUCCUAUAUAUAUAAUUACCCCGUCCACUUGUCAUAUGUGUUCUUAAUAUUUCUCAUAGUUGACUGUAAUCUCGUCUUGGUUUAUUUAAGUUAGAAAGAAACACGGGAAGAGCAACAGCGCGUUAAUUGGUUUCUGCUCCAAGUCUAAAAGUCUUCCAAGUUUGUUGUACCAGAAUGCUGAUGAUUGCUAUUCAGCCAAGCAAACGAAACACGGUUGCAGAGUGAUGAUACAUCAAGUUCAUGACAUUUAUACUAGACCACACGCCCAAGAAAAUGCAAUGUAAAAACACGGAGAGGCGGAGGCGGUCGGCGGCCGCGGCGUGAGGGCAGAGACGGUGGACGCGGCACGAAUUGAAGAACCUCAAAACGCCGCGGCAAGCGGCAUUGUGGCCGUUGAAUGGCGGGGUUGUAGCCCUCAAGCCGCAUCCAACCAUCACCAAAUGCACUAUGCGGGAAGCCAUCUCCGGUGAGGUGUCCGGCGUCCCCGAACUUCUCCAGGAUCCAACGGCCAUCGGAACCGGAGAUAUGGACAACGCUGAUUGAGGUGUUAGGAAUUUUCUUGCCAACCGAGAUCGUUGGAUCGGCGUGCCUGCAGAUUUCCUCUAUGACUGCCUCAUGGGAGACGACGACCACCCGCUCACCUUUUAACGCAACACGCGACAGCUUGAAAUUCACCACCAGGUGCAAGUUUUGACCAUAUAGAGAGCACAAGAAAUUACUAUGUGGAUUAGUGCUUACCCUUGUGCUUCUUGGCGAUUUCGUUCAAGCGGGAAACACAACGCUCAGAAAGUUGAUCAAGACUCUCCCCGCCACCCUGUCCAAAGGAGAUGACUAGUGAGUAAUAUAUAGCAACCAACAGGGGAAAAGCAUGCCUAAGCCUAGCUUUUACUUCGACUAAGACUAAGUACAACUUUGAGAGGAGAAUGGAAAUUAGUUACAGGUAUUUCUUGGUCUCUGCCACCGCAUGCGAAAGCCUUGUAAGCUUCAGAUCUCUUGGCAUCGUCAAUGGUCCAACCUUGGAACAAUCCCAUGUGCCUUUCCGUCAGUGCCCGAUCAAUCACCAGCUGAAACAAACAGCAGCCCAUUUAUUCAUGAAGCGAGAAAAAUUAGCACAAACUAUUACUAGUAUUCAAAGAAUGUUCAUACAUCAGAAUCAGAUACGCAGCAAUGCUCUGCGAUCGUUUGCGCAGUCUCGGAAGCACGCUUCAAGUCAGAGGAGUAGACGGCAGCUGGCUUGGCUUCUUCCGACAGACGACGGGCAACCUUGAGGGUUUGAACAAAAUCAGAAUCACGUACAUAUCUCAAGUCAUGACGAUCUCACAAAGUAUGGCGUACCUUGGCAGCUUGCUGCCUACCAGUUUCGUUCAGCUCCUGAUCGAUCCGUCCCUGUUGAAACUUAAAAUAAGCCUUAACACAUGUUGUAUUGCAUCGCAGAGGGAGAAUCAUAUCUAAGUGAUGCGAUAAGUAGCAAGCUGUGACAGGACAGGAUGAAGAAGAAGCGACCUGAAUGAUGCGGGAGACGUUCCAAUCCGUCUGUCCAUGGCGCACCAACACCACCUCCGCGAAGUGCUCGCCAUGCGGCGAUGCAGGUGCCAUUGAUCGAUCGGCCGGCGUUAUUGCUGCAGAGGGAACGAAGGGGAGAUGGAUGGUCUUGCUCUAGCUGGCUUGCAGAGGUUCCUUGAAAUCUGGAACCUCUCUGCUCUCUUGUGCUAUAUGAUUGGCCAUCUGGGGCGACUUCAUAGGAGGCCAGAGAGGCCAGAGAGUAGAUUAUAAUUCGUGUACGUUUUGAAGAUGGAAAGAUGGCGACCUGCUAGUUGACUAAUAAAUUAGAAACACGGUUUGAUUUGGUUUGGUUUCGAGAGCAAUUUUGGUUUAGUUUGGUUUCAAGAGCAAUUUGAGCAACAACACCCAUUCCAACAGCAGGUUCGGCUUCUCCAGCAAGUACGUGGCCAACUAAGCUGGUCGGCGGACCAAAUUAAAGAAGCUAUCCACUUUCUUCUCCAUCAAGAUACCCUGUGCUAUAUAAUUACCCCCAUCCACAUCAAGAUACCCUGUGCUAUAUAAUUACCCCCAUCCACUUGUCAUCUGCGUUCUUAAUAUUUCUCAGAGUUGACUGUAAUCUCAUCUUGGUUUAUUUAAGUUGGAAAGAUAAUUGCCUGCUAUUUAAGAAAAAAAAACACGGGAAGAGCAACAGCGCGUUUGGUUUCUGCUCCAAGUCUAAAGUCUUCCAAGUUUGUGGAAUCAUUAGAAUGCUGAUGAUUGCUAUUCAGCCAAGCAAAGGAAACGCGGUUGCAGAGUGAUGAUACAUCCAAGUUCAUGACAUUUAUACUAGAGCACACGCCCAAGAAAAUGGCAAUGUAAAAACACGGAGAGGCGGAGGCAGUCGGCGGCCGCAGUGAGAGGUGUGCGAGCGCGAGGGCGGAGGUGGCGGACGCGGCACGAAUUGAAGAACCUCAAAACGCUGCGGCAAGCGGCAUCGCGGCCGAUGAACGGCGGGGUUGUACCCCUCAAGCCCCAUCCAACCAUCACCAAAUGCACUAUGCGGGAAGCCAUCUCCGGUGAGGUGUCCGGCGUCCCCGAACUUCUCCAGGAUCGAACGGCCAUCGGAAUCGGAGACAUUUACAACGCUGAUUGAGGUGUUAAGAAUUUUUCUGCCAACCGAGAUCGUUGGAUCGGCGUGCCUGCAGAUUUCCUCUAUGACUGCUCAUGGGAGACGACGACCACCCGCUUACCUGUUAACGCAACACGCGACAGCUUAAAAUUCACCACUAGGUGCAAGUUUUAACCAUACAGAGAGCACAAGAAAUUACUAUGUGGACCGGUGCUUACCCUUGUGCUUUUCGGCGAUUGCGUUCAAGCGGGACACAGCGCUCGGAAAGUUGAUCAAGACUCUCCCCGCCACCCUGUCCAAAAGGAGAUGACUAGUGAGUAAUAUAUAGCUUUUACUUUAACUAAGACUAAGGUCCCGUUUGGUAGGGCUUCUCAAAGUGCUUCUCCACCGGUUUUUGGUGAAGUCCUACUAAUGGGUCAAUUUCAAAACGGCUUCACCACCAAAGCCAGGGAGAAGCCGCAAAACGGCUUACACUAGAGAGGAGAAGCCAAAAAAAGUGGCUUCACCGGCUUCUCCUCCCUCUCCAAGCAUUAAGUGAUCAUAAAAUUACAUAUAUUGCCAUUGAGAAGCCGUUUUACCAAAUGUUUUGCAAAAUGGCUUCAGCUUCACUAAAAAAGCCACUCCACCGAAAAAGCCGAAGCCGAAGCGGAAAUUACAUAUAUUGCCAUUGAAAAAUUACUAUGUGGAUCGGUGCUUACCCUUGUGCUUCUCGGCGAUUGCAUUCAAGCGGGAAACACAGCGCUCGGAAAGUUGAUCAAGACUCUCCCCACCACCCUGUCCAAAAGGAGAUGACUAGUGAGUAAUAUAUAGCUUUUACUUCAACUAAGACUAAUUAAGUACAACUUUGAGAUCAGAGGAGAAUGGAAAUUAGUUACAGAUAUUUCUUGGUCCUGCCACCGUGAGCGAAAGCCUUGUAAGCUUCAGAUCUCUUGGCAUCGUCAAUGGUCCAACCUUGGAACAAUCCCAUGUGCCUUUCCGUCAGUGCCCGAUCAAUCACCAGCUGAAACAAACAGAAGUCCAUUUAUUCGGAUGAUAUAUAGAACACCAAUAAUUCGUGAAGCGAGAAAAAUUAGCACAAACUAAUACUAGUAUUCAAAGAAUGUUCAUACAUCAGAAUCAGAUACGCAGCGCGAGGACGGAGGUGGCGGACUAGGCACAAAUUGAAGAACCUCGAACGGCCGCGGCUAGCGGCAUCGCGGCCGUUGAACGACGGGGUUGUAGCCCUCAAGCCGCAUCUAACCGUCCACGGAUUUGGGCCAUUGAAUAGCUUAUUUUUUUUAAAGAACAGGAGGGUAAACCCCUACUGAUUAUAUAUUAAAUUGAAAGGAUACAAAGAAAAUGGCACAAAUCUAAAGAGAGAAAAUAAAAAAAAAGGAAGAGGAAGAGAAAAAGAAAAAAGGGAAAAAGACAAGCCUAGGAGUACAAGCUAAGAGAUUACAGAGUAUGUAACCAGACAUUCAUAGCAAGCACUAAAGCAGGGUGCGCUCUAUGGGGUAACAAGGAAAAUUCAGACAUGAAUUUCCUUUUGCACAAUUCCACUGAUGGAUUGAACAUCCAGUCAUUCCUAGUCAUCCAGAUGCUCCAUGACAUAAGAAUUAUGAUUUCCAUGAAGAAAGGAACAUGCUCCAUGACAUAAGAAUUAUGAUUUCCAUAAAGAAAGGAACAGCAAGCUUGUCCUUGAUUUGUUUGAAAAUCCGAAGGAUUGGUUUGGUGGUGAUAACUGAUACUCCAAUUGAAUUCCAGCAUGCUUUGGCAAAGUUACAUUGGAGGAAUAGGUGUGCCACAUAUUCCAUCUUUUGUAAUAUACAUAGUUCGCAAGUGUAGGAGUCAAGAUCCAUUUGUUUCCUUCUCAAUAUAUCUCUUGUACUCAGACGAUCUUUGAGCAAUAACUAGAAGAAGACCUUGUGUUUGAUCUGACAUUUAGAUUUCCAAAGUCAGAAAUAUGCUGGAUGGGUAUUCCUCUACCCAAUGAUAGCCUUAUAUGCUUUGGAUGUUGAAAACAUUGAAUUGCCCCAAAUGUAUGUACACCUAUCAGGUUCUUGUACGGUAUUCAUGCCAUCAAUGAGUUGUUGCAGGAUAUGGUAUUCAUGCCACCAAUGAGUUGCUGCAGGAUAAUAAAUUGUGAAUGUGCCUGGGUUGUUAGGGGUAAGUUGAAAUUCUGGAUGAAACUUGGUUAGUUGACAGCCGCUUUGAAGGUGAUGUUGUAGUCUUUGGCAAAUGAGAUAAGCUCCGGAUGAACCUGUGAUUGCACUGCUCCAUUCCAAAAGUCUUUUCAAAAGAGUACUGUGGAGCCUUCUGCCACUAGAACUGAAGCAAUUCCUUUGUAUGUAUCCAAUAAUUUGACUACAUCCCUCCAUCAAAAGGAGCCUUUUCUUUGCUAACCCAGUAGUCGACCAUUAGCAUAGUAAUUUUCCCAUACAAUGUUGACCCAAGGAGUGUCAACCUUGGAGAAGAACUUGUGCAGGAACUUUAGCAACAUAGCAUCAUUAUGUGUAGCAAGAUUGAAAACUCCCAAUCCACCUUGUUUCUUAGGCAAACAUACCAAAGGCCAAGCAGCUGUGGAAGGCUUCUUGGAGUUCAUGUCUGAUCCCCUCCAUAAGCAGUAUUUCCUAUAUUUGUGCAAUUUUAGCGUUGAUGUAUAGAAAACUACUGAUGAAGAGAAGACCGAGUUAACCAUCUCCAACUUGCCAACUUGACUCAAAAAAAGGGACAUGUUGCUUAACCUCUUUUCUAUCUUUUGUAUGAGGGGCAGAAAAUUUUCCAUGUUAGGCUUGGUGGUUCCUAGGGGCAGUCCCAGAUAUGUGAAGGGGAGAGAACCUUUUUGACAGUUAAAAGUUGUGGCAAGAUUCUCAAGAUUUGCUUCAGAAAUGUUUAGGGGUACUAUAGCCGAUUUACUAUAAUUGACCUUCAGUCCAGUGGAGGCAGCAAAGGUGCUAGGAAGGUCUUUGAGGAAUAAGUGCUGGUUUGGGCAGGCCUCCAUAACAAGUAGGGUGUCAUCUGCAUAUUGGAUAAUUGGAAAAUUUGUCCCUGCUCUUUCUGGAAUUGGUAGUUUAAGAAAUCCUUGGUCUUUGGCUCUAUUGAUGACUGAUUGAAGUAGGUCUGGUGCCAGGACAAAAAGAAGAGGUGAGAGGAGAUCACCUUCCCUUACUCCUCUUCUGAAGUGAAAGACUUUCCCUAGAACUCCAUUCAGAAGAAUUGAAGAUGUGUCUGAUCCUAGUAUGUCUUUGAUCCAAUUAAUCCAUCUAUCCCCGAAGCCUUGUGUUUUAGAAUUUGUAGAAUGUUCUGAUGUUCCAUCUUAUCAAAGGCUUUUCCAAAGUCUAGUUUCAGAAUCACUAAUUCUCUUUUAGAGGCCUUGCAGAUAUGUAGAUAUUCAAUGACCCAAGCCAGAUAGUCGUGUAUAGAUCUUGAUCUAAUAAAACCAUAUUGAUUUUUGUGGAUGAAUCUUAGGAUGACCUGCUGUAGCCUGUCUACAAGUAGCUUGGUGAGUAGCUUAAUUGUGGAGUUCAGGAGGGAAAUUGGUCCAAAGUCUCCAACUAAGGAUGGACAGUUCUUCUUGGGGAUCAGGAUGAUGUAUGAAGCAUUGAUGCUUCUUAGACAUAUAUUUCCUUCAAAAAAAAUCCUCACGGAGUUUGUAGAAGUCUUGAGAAAUUAGGUUCCAGCACUUCUUUAGGAACUCUACAUUAAAGCCAUUAGGUCUUGGGGACUUGUUGUUAGGGAGCUCUGUAAUUAUCUUAUUAAUUUCUUCUUAGGUAAAUGGACUUUCUAACCAGUCCAUAUUGUUGUCAACCCGAAGUAGAGAGUCAAGGUCAAAGUACAUGUGUGUAAACUUUGAGGUUCCUAUUCUUCCUUUAUAAGCGUUCCAGAGCAUUGCUGCCUUGGCUUCAUGGUCAAACACCUCACUUCUAGAAUCAUCUGUCAGAGAGGUAAUAGUGUUCUUCCUGUGUCUGAUCGACGCAUUGGCAUGGAAAAACUGAGUACACUUGAUGGGUCCAUAGACCCGGGGUUCCCAAUGGGCCUGCUUUUGCACAACACCUGGCCCAACGAGAGGUGCAGUGAUAAUGCACGCCUGGGCCGGCCCAAAUACGUGACGCCAGGCCGAGACCAUGAUCCAGCCACCGACCUGCAAUUCCGACUAGGAGGCCUGGUCGACGCCCCGACCAGAAGGCCUGGUCGGGGGCGGGACCACAGUCCGACUCCGACCAAGUUCCCCCAACUAGGGACACGCCAGACCUACGCAUACCACUCCUUCCCGACUGGCACGGUCGGGACUAUGGCGGAACUACCCAAAUUAACCUGACUAAAAUGCACUUAAGUCAUCUGACACGCGAUCAUGCACUUUAACCAAGUCAACUUGGUCAUCCGUUGGAUUUCAUCCGAUAAACCACUUACUCAGGAUCGAGAAGCAUUGCUCACAUGAAGGUGAGUGGCACAAAGAUUACAACAUUCCUAUCACAUUAACAUAGUUUGGAAGGUUGUAAACAACGAAGAAGUAAAACAAGCGGAAGCUACCCGACGAUACAUAAUACCAUGGAGAAGCCGACCAUGAUAUCAAUGACCCCUGUCCUCGCCAUCCGAGGAGGGAUCCCACUCGACUAUCCAACCCGGAGGGAGCUGGGUAGGCCAAGUGGUGCCAGCAGCCAAACUAUCGACAUUACCUGAAAAGUUAUGCCACAAGCAAGGCUGAGCAACUAAUACUCAGCAAGACUAACCUAAUAGGUGAUAACUAUUCACCGACUCCUAGACAUGCAAAACUUUUUGGUUGUGGGUUUGUUUUUGCCAAAACACCUAAAGUUGUCCUUACUUUCAACAUUUUAGCUCAAGUUCUAUGUUCAUUAACCAGACUAGAUUAGCAACUUAUACUAAACAAGCAUAGUUUCCAAACAAUUAAAGAACAAGCAUCAAGAUUAAAGUCAUCAUCAUAUUCCUUCUUUACUCAGUGCAGAAUAACGAUCAAGCAGUCCCAAACUAUGAGAGGCAGAUGAAUUAAUUUGAAUUUAUUAACCAUGCAUGGAGAACCUAAUCUCACGACAUCCGCGCACCACGAAGGGUCGCUUCACUUGUCAGCCGUCCCCAUCGAUCCCUAUGCACGUGUCAGGGCCAAACUUCCCUGGCAUGCAAUGCUGCACAGUCCCGGUCUCUUGUCGUACUGUGACGGCACUUGCACCCACAUGAUGCACCAUGGGAACCUCGUUCCAGGGACAGCAGGAGUAUAAGACACGCCCCAGUUCAAUCAGGUACUAGGCUUCCCUAUCCCAUACUAGGUAUGAGAUUAGUACUUUCAAACACUUGAUCAUGAACGCUGACAUGUUUUGACCUUAGCAAGUUCAUUACUAGACAGACAGGGCAAACCACCACAUUGGAACCAUUCCCGGUCCCGUCCGUCAUCCUUAUAGUUGUAGUAUGAGAAAACAAACAACUCCUAUAACUCGCGAGUGACAGGCAAUCACUCGACUUUUGCCAAGUCCUAUUUAGCACAACAACUACUCGACCUUAGCAACUAGUGUUCAGAUCAAAGGUACUAAAUUCAUGCAUCUACAGUUUCAAUCAACUCCUACAAACGUAAAUGCACAAUCAUAAUCAUCAAUAUAUUGCAUAAAUUUAAAACAGGGAAGCAUGCACCGGGGCUUGCCUUCAGGUUUAGAAAAAUUUAGCGGGUCUUCGGGGUCUUGAUCUAGCUCGGGCUCAACUUCCGUGUGAUGUAGCUCUGCGGCGUGUUCCUCUUCCAGUGUAGGGUGGAGCUCGUAGGUUCCGUCAGCGAUAUUAGCUUCUACACGACAUGCACAUGCAGAGAGUUCAAUUUUUCAUGCUUUCAUACGAAUGAUGUAAGACAUGACUUAUUGCUGAAAUGAAAGUUGCAUUUCGACCACAUUCACCUAAACAAGGUUUCAAAUUUCGUUACCUUCAUGAAGUAAGGUGUGUUGUGGUUUAAAACUAAGGGUUGACUUUGAUGGUGAUUGUGUACAUAUAUAAGAUUUCAUAACUUAGACUUCACAAGGAAAGUGAGGGUCGCUUUUAGGAUUGUUCGGGUUUCAUUUGGAAAGUCAUUUAUUUCUGAAUGUUUUUAUUGUACCUCUUCCAAAAAUCACCAAUUAAGUUUACUAGGACUUAACAUUUCCUUACUCAUUUAAACCGAUUCCUCAUCCAAAAUUUGUUUCCACAAACCAACACUAGCAUAUGACAUUGAGAAAUGAGCAGUACCUCACUCAUGUCAUCAAUGAGUUACUGUAAAAAUUUGGGAUCCAUUGAAUUAGCACAAAAAGAAUUAAAAUUACUUUAUUACCCAAGGGUAGCAUGCACUUAACCAUUUUUAUCUCAAAACCUACAGUGAUUCCGAGGGUGAAACUUUAACAGUGGGUUGAAGGUGUGUUAUAGAGACUUUGGUGAAUUUUUCAUGAUUUGUGGUGAAGGACAACUAUUUCCCAUAUUUUACUCCUAUUAUCUUGAUCUAAAAAGGAAAGUGGGUUUCAUCAAGCUUUAGUCAAGGUUUCAUAUUUUCCAUGUGAACUAAGCUUCAAAACUAAGCUACUCCAAGUGAUUUCAUAUUUUUCUCAGCUCUAGAUUAAAACUUAUGCAAAAAGAAAGAUUUAACCCUAGAUUUCAAAUAUAAAGCUAAAACAGUGAGUUAAAGUUCUACUCCAGGGUCUUCACUAUUUUUCCAAGCUUCCAUACUUAGAAACAUACACCAUAGAGUUGGAUUUAUCUUUUUAGUAUUUUUCUUUGAUUUACUAUGAUUUAAAAGGCCUAAGCAAGAAAUGAAACUAUAGGGUCUUAUUUCCAACAGUAACAUGGGCAAGAUUAUUUUUGUAUGAAACUGGAUAGUUCACUAAGUCCAACAAAAUUUAUUUGGCAUUUUCUAAUUUUUCUACGAUUUAUGGUGCAUUUACAAAGUUUAUUCUAUUUUCUAUCAAUUUAAAACAAUUAACCGAAAGAACUUACAAUCUAACCCUCGCGUCUAAGGUUUAAUCGUGCAGUGUUCUCUAGUUCUUGUGCUAAGGCCCCUAGAAAAAGAUAAAAGACACAGGGAGGCCCCUAGCGGCGGCCGUCGCCGAUCUUCGCCCGAUUUCGGCGAUGCAAGGCUUGGGCCUGGGCAAGAAGCUAUUGGGGAGAAGCGCGUUCUCACCUAGGGUCAAUUGGCGGCGGUUAGGACGUCGGAGAGGGCUCGGUGAAGGCGGAACGCCGUGGGGACGAGGAGCGGGUCGUGGCGAUGGUCCUCAAGGUGUUCCGGUGCCGGUAGUGCUCCGGGAGGGCAAUGGGCAGCUCGGGGACGUGCGUGGUGGAGCGGCGGAGCGAGCGGCGGUCUCGAUGGGGCGCGGGGCGGCACGGAGGUGGGGCUCCACGGGAGACCCGAGCGGCAGCCCAAGGAAAAUAGGGGAGCGGUGGUGCUAGAGCUAGCGGAGGGCGGUGUAGGCGGCACCAUAAGUCCUUUUAUAGGGCCAGGGGGAGCGGCGGGUCGAGGCGGGGCUCCGGACGUGGGAAGAUAAGAUCGGAGGGGCGCUGUGGGCUGCGGGUCGAAGCUCCAUUGGCGGCGGCGCCAUUGGUCGGGGUGCGGAGGCCGUGGGAUAGGAUCCCUCGGUCAUUGGCCUUGAGGGAUUCGAAGCGUGCAUGUAACAACCCUAGGUUAGCUAAACCCUGUUUAAACUUAAAUGAAGCAAUUAACAGCUGAUUAAACAAGUCAAGGGUCAACUUUGGCCCCUAAGAGCUUAAAUAUGUGAUUAAGUCAUAAGUUAAAUUUUUAUAUAACAGCCUGAAAUUUUAUCCAACUAAGAGUUGUUAAACUCAUCAUUUCUAACAACUUUUAUUAUAAGCAUUUUGUUUGAAAUUGAGUAGAAGAGAUCCAAAAACUCAGUUUAAAAUCAGAGGCUUUUCAAAUCACUCAAAAUCCUAAGUGCUGAAAGGCAUGAAAAAGUCCCAACUUUGGGGCUCUUUAUUUCAAAAUUUCUAAUAUAAAAUCAAGCUGAGCUCUAUACACAAGUUUUAGAACUUCAAGUGCUUAAUAACUUUGAUUUUUGGAGCUAGGCCAAAAUCUGCACAAAAGUUUUCAAACUUUAGGUCAAACACAGCCAGUUUGGUCAACACCGUCACACUCUGAAAAUCGUUCCAAGUCUGAAGUUUUCAGUUUUUGCCAAACAUUGAUGCAUUUUAUCUCCAAAACCGUUUGGAUUUUGAACAAAAACUUUAUGAAUAAAGUAAACUAGGGUGCUAGGCCUACAAGUUUUGUAAAGGAGGGUAGGGGCGAGCAGUUCAAAAAUUGGUAGUAAAUCAAGCCCCAAGACCGGUCCUCCGGCAUUUUUCGCGUUCCCGCCUAGCGUCAGAGAACGCACGCGCCAGAGCCCGCACCUCGCCCGCCGUGUGGCUCCACCUCACCGGCGAGCCCCGUCACCCAACCUGCGGCCGUGAGCUGACCCGACAAGCGCCGCCUCGCCUAAUAGCCUCGCUUGCCGCGACAGCCUCGACGCGCGCCUACAGUCGGUCGCACGCCCAGUCACCCGGCCCUCUGCUACGGGUGCAUGUCCCCGCACGCGCCGCAGACCGUCGCCGCCACUUCGCCCAACGCCCUCCCGCGACAAGAUGCCACAAGAGCCGAGCCUUGCCAAUGCGCCUCCCUAACAGCCCCGCUCAUUCGCGCACGCGAGCUCUUGCCCUAUCCUGCCGCACCGCCCGUCGGCGGCAAUGGCCACUGCCGAGCCUCGCCAAUGCGCCUCCCUAACAGCCCCGCUCGUCCUCGCACGCGAGCUCCUGCCCUAUGCUGCCGCACCGCCCGUCGGCGCCAAUGGCCGCCGCCAUGGCCGGUCCACCCGGCAGCACGCGCCUUGCCCCACUCUUCGGCUCCAGCUACAGACGCGUGCCUCGCCGCGGCUAUAAUACGCCCACCAGCCUGCCCGCACUCCCUUUCACAGCUCCGCGCACCCGCACCGCCGGAACGCCCACCUGAGCACGCCGCCGCCUAAGCUCCUCCAUGGAGAGCUAGCCUCCGCCGUGCGCCACCCCUCACCGGUGCCCCUAGCCACUUCGCCGCCACCUCGCGAAGCUGCUGCGCUUGCCCAUCUCCGCCGCCCAGACCCAGCCCCGCCGGAACACCAACGCCACCGCCCGCCGCCGCAGCCGAGCAAGCCGUCUCCGCGUGCUGCCACCGUCGGACCGCCCCGCCGCCCGCAACCGCCUCAAAUCAGUCGCAGGUGAGCCCCUGCGCCUCCCCGACCUCUUGUCACCCCAAUCCCGCUGGCUAAUCGCCGGAAUUCCGACCGGCCACCGCCGCCGGCCCGCCGAGGACUCGAUUGCAUUUGAAAAAUGCGAAUUAGGGGUCUCUGUGAAGUUUUGUUACAACCUAUGGGUGAUUAGUUGAAAACCCGAGGGCCCAACCGUAAGUCUACCUGAGAAAACCCGCGCGAGGACCUGUUUGUGUAUAGCGAGGGCAUGGUUGUGAAAUCCGAAAGUUUCUGAGGGCCUAGUUGCAAAUACGUUUCGGUUUAUAUUUUUAUAUCGGCAGAAUAUAUGUUUAACUUUGAAAAUUCACCAAAAUUCGUAGAAAAUUCAGCAAAAAGUCAAACCAAUUUUGCUAGACUCAGUAUAAGAGUAGUUUUUAAUAAAAAUACUUUUGGCACAUGUCUUUGUUAGAAUUAAAUUUAUAUGAUUUAAUCCUUGUUUAAGCUAUUUAAAUCAUAACAAAUCACAGAAAAAUGCUAAAAAGGGUAAAUCCAUUUCCCAAGUGGUUGUUUCAGAUAGUAGAAGCUUGGAAAAAUAAUUUUGGAGCCCAUCUCAGAUGUUUAAAUCUCUAUUUUAGUUUUAUCAUGUGUAUCUAAGGUUGUUUUCGUCUUUUGCAUUAUAAUUAAACCAGAGAUGAUAAAAAUAUGAAACAAAGCGUAAUAGGUCAGUAGUGUAGUAUAGUUUGUAGGAAAAACAUAGAACCUGAUUAGAAGCAUCAGAAAAACCACCUUCCUUUUUAGGGAGGAAUAAAUAGGGUAAAUGUAUAGAAAAAGAUGCCCUUCAUUAAAAAUUGUGAGAAAUUCACUAGAGGCUCUAUUUCACCCCUGGAACCUACUGUUAAAAUUUCGUGAUCAGUUUCAUCUUGGUUUCUGUUUUAAUAAUGUUUAAGUAUAUGCUACCUUAGGGUAAUUGAGUAAUGCUAAUUCUUUUCAUGCACCUCCAAUGGAUCUCAAACUUAUGCAGUAUCUUAUCCUUGCCAAAGUUAAGUUACUGGUAUAUUUUCAGCUUCAUAGCUUGCUGUUAAAGAUGGAAAUAAAAUUGCAAGAUGAGCCUAGCUAAAUGAAAGAAAGAAACCUUAAUUAAUGAUAAAGGUAUUUUUUUAGGAGAGGUACAAAAGAACAUUCAGAAACAGGAUAACUUUCCGAUCUAAAGUUUAACAAGAUAGUGCAUAUAUGUACACAAUCACCAUCAAAUCAACCCCAGGCUUGUACCACACCCCACCUUCCGCGUGUAGAUAAAGAAGGUGUAAAACCUUGUUCAAGUGAAUGUGGCCCUAAUAUAACUACUUCUUCAGUACUAACUCGUGUUUUACAUCCUAUGAAAAAGUUUGGGAAUUUUUAACUUGAUGCAUUGCAUUUCGUGUAGACCUGAACCUCGCUGACGGGACUUACGAGCUUCACCCGGCGCCAGAAGGAGCCAUAGCGGAUCUGCAGCAAGUCAGAGCCGAGCCCGUACCAAAACAAGCCGAGGACCAGUUCGCUAACUCCCCGUGUGAAGGCAAGCCCCAGAGCAUGAAUUCCUAUCUUUAAAUACCUGCAAUACAAUUGAUUGCUUUGAUUGCGCAUUUACGUUCUAGGAGUUGAUUAACACCGUAGAUGCAUGAAUUUAGUACCAUUGAUAUGAACACUAGUAUAUUAAGUCGAGUAGUUGCAAUACUUAAUAGGACUCGAUAAAAGUCGAGUAAUUUCCUGUCACUCGCGAGUUAUAUAAGUUGAUUGCUUUACUUAUGUUGCAACUAUAAGGACGAUGGACGGGGAUGGGCUUAUGUUUGGUACUCGGUGGUUUGCCCCGUCUGUCUACAUGAAAUUGGACUAAGGUCGAGAUUUGAUAGUGUUCGUGAUCAAGUAUUUGAAAGUACUAAUCUCAUACCUAGUAUGGGAUGGGGAAGCCUAGUACCUGAUUGAACCAGGACGUGAGCGGAUCGUUCCACUGUCUCUGGAAACUGAGUUCUCCCCUGAUGCAUCAUGUGGUGACAAGUGCGGUCAUAGAACGGCGGAGGCCUGGUCUAUAGAGCCUUGUACCAAGGGAAGUGGGCCCGACACAGGUUUGGGAAUUGAUGGGGGUGGCUGACAAAUGAAGUGACCCUUCGCGGUGCACGGAUGUCAUGGGAUUAGGUUCACCAUACAUGGUUAAGAAAUUCGAAUCGAUUCAUCAGCCUCUCACAGUUUGGGAGUACUUGAUCGCUAUGCUACACUGAGUAAGAAUGAAAGAUAGUGAUGACCUAAUAUGGUUACUUGCUAUUAAUUAUUUGGAAACUAUGCUUGUUUAGUAUAGUUGCUAACUUAGAUUGGUAAAUGAACAUAGAACUUGUGGCUAAAAUAUUGAAAGUAAGCACCUACAUUAGUCGCUUUUGGCAAAAACAAACCCUAGAGCCAAAAAGCUUGCAUGUCUAGGUGUUGGUGGAGUAGUACCACCGGUCGGUUAAGUCUUGUUGAGCGUAGUCGCUCAGCCUUGUUGUGGCAUAUCUCUUUUCAAGUGAUGUUGAUACCUCUGAGUUCGAUGCAAGUGGCACUUGGCCUGCCCAACUUGCUCCGGGUUGGACGGUCGAGUGGGAUCCCUCCUCGGACAGCAAGGAUAAGGAUCAUUGAUGUCAUGACCGGCUUCUUCAUGAAGAUCAUGCAACAAUGUCUAGCUUUCGCUUAUUUAUUUCCGCUGCUUGAAAACUCUGCAAACUUGUUGAAUUUCGGAACUCAUGUUAUAAUAAUUCAAUGCACUUUGUUAAAUCUGGAUGGACUGUUGUAAUCUCUGUAACCACUCACCAUCGUGUGAGUCUUGCUUUAUCGAUCCUGAGUUAAGUGGUUUAUCGGAUGAAAUCCGACGGACGACCAAGUUGACUUGUUUAAAGUACAUGAUCGCGUGUUAGGUGACUUAAGUGUGCUUUAGCCAUGUUAAUUUGGGCGGUUCCGCCACAGCGCAAGCGUGGCUUUGCCGCGGUCGUGGGUUGUGGAGCGAGGCACUCGUGCGGUCACUGUCCGGGCAUCGAUAGGCGAACGGAGCUUGGCCGGUCCGAGGCGGUGGCGUGGCAUCCUCUGGCGGGCGGAGCUAGCUCAAGACGGGGCGAAGGGCAUGCGUGGCAUCAGGGAGCGGGAUAAGCGCGCUCGCCUACUAGGCAGCCGAGCGCGCGAGUUGUUGUGUCGCGGCCGUCGGUUGGGCGACGGUGAGCUCGCCAGUUGAUGGCGGCCACGCGGCGGGUAGCGUGCGGGAACGCGCGUCGCGGCGCACUCUGGCCGAGGGCGUCGCAAGGUAGGGGGAAAAGGCUAGGUUUGGGGGAUUUUUGUUAAAACUUUUUCAAAAGAACCCGUGAAACUCCAAAAGUAAAACAUGUAGUCCUAACGUCCAGCUCCAAACUUUACAAAAAGAGUUUGCUUAAAUUCGAUAUGGAUUUGAACCUAUGGAUUUGCAAAGUUCGGCAGAACGUCAGCCUCCUAGGACUUAGACAGAUUUUGGUUUUGCUGUUUUUAAGCAUUUUGGCCAACUUUGGCUCAGAUUUUGAGUAGCUUCCCAUUUGAAUCAUGCCAAGCUAUAAUUGAAGGAAUUGUUCUUCGAUCUUAGGACUCCAACUCCUAGUAAGGACUUUUCUCAGGUUCAGUUCAAUUUUUAGGAGAAACAGGCUUGCCAACAUGCGUGCUCUGGGUGUCCUUCCAGACUUAGCGCAGAAAAGCAUUUGUGCUAGCUUGACUAUUUUGAGCGACAUUGACCAAGAUUUUGAAUAGGUUUGGUUGUGAAUUAGACUUGGGUCAGUAUAACAAAGUUGUAACACACUCGCGGAACUACAACUUCUAUUAGGGGUUUGACUCGAGGUUAGAUAUAGAAUUGUGAGAUAAUAGGUUGCAAAGUAGAGGAAAAACAUGAGUUCCAGGACUUACGUUAUUUGCAGGAUUUUGAUGUACUCCUGAUUUGACUCUUAUUUUUGACCUUCUUCCACUCCAAAUUAGCCGAUGUGUUAUUAAUAAAAUUUGUUUGAAAUUAAAAGUUUUACAACUCCUAUUUGGGCAAAAAUUCAAGUUUGUAUACAAAAACUCAAGUUUCCUAUUUAACCCCAAAAGGAGAUUUUUAGGGGCAAAUUGGACAUUUCACUUCUUCUACUUAGUGACUAAUGACUUUAUUAAGUAUAACUACACCUAAUUAAGGUAGAAUUGUUACAGGGAUCGACCAGGACAACUGACAGGGGAUGCCCACUUGGUGUGGACCCAGGGAGUAGGUUAAGCAGAUAAAGGAAAACACAAAGGUCAACCACUGUACAGAGGACCAUACCUAGCCAUGCCCUGCGCAAACGCCGCACAGUGCCACCGUGCAAUGUCAGGCGAACACUGUGCUACCUGACCGUCACAACGGAGCAUGAACAAGGAUGGAGUGCGAUGGUCAUACUGUACCCGGCGACGUGGGCAACGACAAGACUAGGCAGCGCUCGUACUCUCUCUCUCUCUAACUUGUAAGGCUGUCCCCUUGGACUAUAAAAGGGGAUGGGCCCUCUCUCUCCCAAAUAGGUGAAGCGUCCCCACAUCAGCGGAGACUAAAUGUGAUAGAAAUAUCAGUCCCAGGAGGCUGAUAACACAUUUAUUCGACAGAUGGUUCAAAAACCGUACAACUCCCGAAGGAGCGGGCGGGCAAGCCACACCCAAAGAAGAACUAAACCAAUAACGAUACAAAUCCAAGUUGCAGUCCAGUCGGACUCCGGGCUGCAAUCGGAACUAAGCGUCAGCGGAAGCAUUCUGCAAAAGCCAACACCACAGGCAGCGUUGGGUGCGGACACGACCUCCUACUCGAGAUCCUUGGCGAUGUAGUCUGGGUCUUCCUCUGAAGCAACAAAACAAGGGUGAGUACGAAGGUACUCAACAAGUCCAACCCCAUCCACGGAGGGGGAUACAAACAAGAGUAUGCACAGGAUAUAACAAGGAUAAGGUUAAGGUUCAUUUGCAACAAAGCUAGAUUUUCAACACAUGCAGAGGUUCAUUUCCAAAAGAGUUUUUGCAAAGCAUUUCCUUUAUUAACCGAAACAUUAAGUGGGGUUGAUCCUACACAAAGGAUCCAAAUUUUAUUGCUAUCGGACUCCCCGUCCGCCAUAGCUCAUGACACAACUGCCGGACACUUCCAAAGUCCAACACACGCCAUAAAAACCAUCCAUCUCCAAGUGCUAGUUAUGUGACCAAGCCGUAACUCGUCCAAUCCCAUGGACACAGCUACCCGGAUAGGUUUUAACUCUGCAGAGGUUGUACACUUUUCCCUCAAGUAGGGUACCGCAGUACGAUCACCUUAGUGCCAGUGCGAAUCCUAACAAAGCCAUUACCCACCUUAGCUAAGAAUGACUAGUCCACACGGAAGCAACCAAGGGGUUAAUGACAUACCAACGAGGUUGUAACCGGGACCUAAGUCACAAAGAUCUUACUCCUUUUUCAUGGGCUGCCGUUGCUCACUAGCUCACCCGAAGACUAACAGUUUAGCUAGUGGGAUUUAUGCUAAGCCGUUGCCGCAUACAAUGGAGUGGUUGCACGAAGGUUGGGUUAGGCAAGAUGACACAUUAACUUGGUCCUUAACCAUGACAAGAUGGAUAUCUCCCAACCUUGCUCAAGCACCAAGGUACGAGCCCAACAUAUUGGCAUUUCACACCUGAAACACCCAUCCAUCUCAUCUAAGCAUUUCUUUCCUUUACUUCCAAAAAACCCAAUUUCCCUUUUUAAAAUACUCACACAUUUAUUUUUUAACAAAACACAUUAUGGUCAUGACUGAAUUGAGUAACAAGGUCCUAAGCAUUCUAGCAGUAAUUAUCAUCCAAACAGAGCAAGUCAUAUUUAGAGAUAGUUAUAGGACAAGCAAGGAAUAAUCAUAACAAUCAAGGGGUGGCUAUCCAACCAUGUUUCGGCGGUAAAAUAAUAUGCAAUUUAUAAAAUAGGCCAAUAUGUUGUGUUUGAAAAACUAGGAUAAAUAUGCAUCAAAGGGUGAGAUUGGACUUGCCGUUCUCAAAGCCUUCCGGGAGUUCCUGCUCGCGGUACUGGUCCUCGGGCUCGGGCUCAUGGUCAAACUCCUCCUCAUGCUCCUCCUUGGGUACUCCACGAUCUAAGCACACACAAUCGAGCACACAAUAAAUAAAAGAGAAUUAAAAAUUUUCCCAUUGAGCUACGAACAGAGAAUGCGAACGGAAAAUUGAAGGAGUGAGCAUUUUCAUGAAAUUUGGAUAUGCCUCAGUGGAAGUAUAUGGGAGGAGGCCGUGAUCGAAUUUGGGAUCAAUUGGAGGAAGUUUGGCGCAUGAAAUGAUGAGUUAAAGGAGUGUUAGGGGCUUAAAUCAAGGUUUAGGACUAAACUGCGAGAACUAGGGACCUAUUUGUAAUAAUUUCCGAAAGGUGGAAGGGCGUAUCCGUGAGAUUUCUUUGAGAGAGGUGGGAGGGCUGGUUUGCAAAUAGGGGAAACUAGGAGGUUAGAUCGAAAUGGAGGCCUUCUUCUUCCUUGGGCCGAGACAGAGAGAUUGGAGGGGAGGGAAACCGGUGGGGGGGCCGGCCGGCCGGGCCUCACCGGCGGCAAGCUGAGUGGUGGGGGAGGUAGAGGGGGACGAGGGCGUCCCGUUUGAGGUUUCACCUCGGGCGGAUGGUGGCCGGAGAUGGGGCGUCGGCGGCGGGCAAAGGAGGCGGCGGCGGAGCUCCUGACAGCGGCGCACAGGGCGGUGGGGAAGGGGGUGACGAGCUAGGGGGGAGAUGCUGGUGGUGUGGGGAGGCGGCAGGGGCUCGGCCCCCUUUUUAUAGGCGGCGAGGAGGAGCUCGAUGGCCAGCGGCCUUCAAUGGUGGCCGAGAAUCCCGGUCGGUGGCGUGCCGGAGCGGAGCUCCACGUGGACGGCGUGGUGGGGCUGGCUCGGUCGACGAGGAGCACAGGAGGCACACAGGGGUGGUGGCCGGCGUGGCGUGCGGCCGGUGCUCAUCGGGCGGGGCCGGCCAGGCGCAGGCGGUGGCGUGCGGCUCGACGCGCGAGGCCGGGCGCGGGCGCGGAGCCGGACUAGGCGCAGGCGCGGGGCCGGCACGGGCCAGGCGCAGGAGCCGGGGCCGGGUGAGCGGUGCCAGGCGCCAGACGCCAGGGAGGCGGCGCUAGGGAGAGGAGAGGAAAGAGAGGAGGAGGGAGGAGGAAGAAGGAAGAAAGAGAAGGAAGGAAGGGAAAAAAGAAAAGGGGGAAAAGGAAAAGGAAAAAGGGAAAUCGGCGAUAGUUGCGGAAUUGGUCGGGCACGCGUGACGGAUUUGACGAGCACGCGGCUAAAUUUGCGGGGAACGGAAAAAGAUGAUUGUCGAUGUUGGGUGCCGGGAUGGCGGGUCGCCGAGAAGGAAAAGAUUUUUCGGGAGCUCAAUGGUCGAAAGAUUUUGAAAUAAAUUUUUUAGCGGGUGAUUUGAGUUAGUAAAUUUUACGGACAUUACAAUAGGCCAUACACAUGAGGCACAUCAAAAACCCUCUGAUUCUCUCCAGCACAUAGCACACGCUUUAAGCCCCCCGUCACUCUCUUCCACUUGGACCAGAGCACGACCGGGUCUCGGACACCCCCUUCUCACCCCCAACUCGUUUGUACCCCAACUACAAACUUGGAGCACCUGGGCUUAGGAAUACAGUCAACCAACUGACCUCGAACUGAACGUAGGUCACGUAGCCCGAACCAGUAUAAAACCUGUGUCAUUGUGUGCUAGGCCAUUCCGAUCUAACGCACGGCAAAACUACUAACAUUUACUUGUCGGCCAGAUUCCGCCCCGACAGCACUCAUCUCCAAACUUAACCCAUUUGAUUGUUCCUCUUUGCUUCCAUUAGAUCUUUUGUUGGUGAAGAAGGUUCUGUAAGUGAUUCCUAAUUAUGUGCCUAAAGAUCCAUUUUUCUAAGGUUAAAUCUCAUUGUUCUUCCAUAAUGUUCAGGAGCUGGAUCAAGUCUUUGCAGUUCCUGAUGGUAGCUGGUAAAUUUGGUAGUUGUGCUUUUCAAGCAUUUAACACUCUCCCCUUAGGUUCUUAAAUUUUGCACUUAUCGUCUUGGUACUAUCAAUUUGAGGGUUGGGCAAAUUCCAUCCAUGUUAUAGAACUAGCACAAAAUUCUCAUGUUCCAACCAAUAGCUUUCAAAUCUGAAUAUCCUAGGCUUAGGAACAUUUGUGCUUGCCGUGAUGGUACAUGGAGUGUGAUAUGAGAUGUCUCUGGACAACCCUGAGGCAAAGGAGUUUCAAAAAAUAGUUGUCCAAGCAUUAGAUGUGAAGAACCAGUCUAAUCUUUCCAGUAAAGGAUUCUGUUGCUUGUUUGUCCAGGUAAAUUUGCAUCCUCUAAAGGGCAAUUCCACUAAACUAAGGUUGCUAAUGGUUUCAUUAAAAGCCAGCAUUUCCUGAAGAUUACCCCUAGCUUAUUCCUAUCUUCUCCUAUCUUCAAGCUUCCUGAUGAGGUUGAAGUCUCAGCCAUUUUUCGUCAUCAGGCAUAUUAAUCCUUUUGAACCAGUUCAAAAAUGCGGUUUUGCCUUCUCUAGUACAGGGUGCAUAGAUAUUGGUUAGGAUCCAGUUUUCUCCAAUCUACCUACAUGAGAAUUAUACUGAUUGGGCAUAAUCAUUUUGAAAGUCCAAGUGACCACUGAACUUGGAACUGUUCCAGAUAAUGUUAGUCCCUCCUGAGUUACCCACUAAUAGUAAGAACACAUAAUCAUCCAUAUAUGCUGGAUAGAAAUUUUAACAUAUGUAAUAUCGAAGAAUUCUUUCUAAGUUUCUUGUAGACAUAGAAUAUCACAUUUGGAUUUACAAAUCUUGCUUUUGACCGCAUCCCAUUUCCCAUCAGAGUUAAUACCUCUAAUAUUCCACGAUAGAAUGACCCAAUUCCUUUUAUGUUGUCCCUGAUUAUAGAUGCUCAUUGAUGAGAAGCCCAACAAAUCGCAUGUGUAAGAUACAAUUAUCCACAGGAUGUCCAAACCGAAAUAAAUAAACAUUCUAAUUAAGAUAAAGAUCACCAGGAUCAACCACAUGUUCAUAAGGGAUAAUAAAGAAGUCCACAUCCCCAAGACAUUACAGUUUAACAAAAUCUCAACCAUUCCCAUCAUGAUACAGGAUAAACUAAUAAUGAAGAUAGCAAAUAAGAUCUUGCUACUUCUUGAUCUUCUUGCGUGAUUCCUCGGAUUCAAUCUCAUCGAUCUUCUCUUUGCUUUUCUCUCUCUUGGAGUUGAUUACCUUCCUGGAGGUCUUGUGGCUUCCAAUGACUUGCUUGUUCUUGCCUUUGUUGCAUAAUGCAUCCUCAGACAGAGCUUGUUGAAUAGCUUGUUCAGGUCCACUCUGCGGGAAGCCAUCUCCGGUGAGAUGUUCGGCGUCUCCGAACUUCUCCAGGAUCCAGCGGCUAUCGGAACCGGAGACAUGGACAACACUGAUUGAGGUGUUAGGAAUUUUCCUGCCAACCGAGAUCGUUGGAUCGGCAUGCCUGCAGAUUUCCUCUAUGACUGCCUCAUGAGAGACGACGACCACCCGCUCACCUGUUGAUGCAACACACGACAGCUUGAAAUUCACCACCGGGUACAAGUUUUGACCAUACAGCAGAGAGCACCAGAAAUUACUAUGUGGAUCGGUGCUUACCCUUGUGCUUCUCGGCGAUUGCAUUCAAGCGGGAAACACAGCGCUCGGAAAGUUGAUCAAGACUCUCCCCACCACCCUGUCCAAAAGGAGAUGACUAGUGAGUAAUAUAUAGCUUUUACUUCAACUAAGACUAAUUAAGUACAACUUCGAGAUCAGAGGAGAAUGGAAAUUAGUUACAGGUAUUUCUUGGUCUCUGCCACCACGUGCGAAAGCCUUGUAAGCUUCAGAUCUCUUGGCAUCGUCAAUGGUCCAACCUUGGAACAAUCCCAUGUGCCUUUCCGUCAGUGCCCGAUCAAUCACCAGCUGAAACAGCACAGAAGCCCAUUUAUUCGGAUGAUAUAUAGAACACGAAUUCGUGAAGCGAGAAAAAUUAGCACAUCAAAAAACGUUCAUACAUCAGAAUCAGAUACGCAGCAAUGCGCUGCGAUCGUUUGCGCAGUCUGGGAAGCACGCUUCAAGUCAGAGGAGUAGACGGCAGCUGGCUUGGCUUCUUCCGACAGACGACGGGCAACCUUGAGGGUUUGAACAAAAUCAGAAUCACGUACAUAAUCUCAAGUCAUGACGAUCUCACAAAGUAUGGCGUACCUUGGCAGCUUGCUGCCUACCAGUUUCGUUCAGCUCCUGAUCGAUCCGUCCCUGUUGAAACUUAAAAUAAGCCUUAACACAUGUUGUAUUGCAUCGCAGAGGGAGAAUCAUAUCUAAGUGAUGCGAUAAGUAGCAAGCUGUGACAGGACAGGAUGAACAAGAAGCGACCUGAAUGAUGCGGGAGACGUUCCAAUCCGUCUGUCCAUGGCGCACCAACACCACCUCCGCGAAGUGCUCGCCGUGCGUCGAUGCAGGUGCCAUGAUCGAUCGGCCGGCGUUACUGCUGCAGAGGGAAGGGGAGAUGGAUGGUCUGGAACCUCUCUGAUGCUGUAUGAUCUAGCUGCCCUGCAGAGGGAAGGGGCGACUUUAUGGAGGCCAGAGGCACAAGGGAGGAAACGCCGCGGCGAAGACCUGGGAUUUCCCUCGACAGCACCAGGAGGCCAUCUCCAUGUACGAUUGUUGCUUGGACUCCAAUGCAUCUCCAUGUACGCGACCACGGCGAAAAGGCCAUUUCCGUCGAGCGCACCUCCAUGCGACGGUGGCGGGGGGUUGACUAAAAAAUUAGAAACACGGUUUGAGCCACAACAGCCAUUCCAACAGCAGCUUCCGGAAGGCUCUGGAAGGCUCUGGAAUCACAAGCAUAAUUCGUGUACGUUUUGAAGAUGGAAAGAUGGCGACCUGCUAGUUGACUUCCAACAGCAGGUUUGGGCAACACGCCAUUCCAGCAGCAGGUUUGGGCAACGCCAUUCGAGGAUCGGCUUCUCCAGGAAGUACGUGGCCAACUAAUAUAACCUGCAGUUGGUCGGCGGACCAAAUUAAAGAAGCUAUCCACUUUCUUCUGCAUCAAGACCUCCUGUUAACCGGCCCCAUCCACUUUCUUCUCCAUCAAGACCUCCGGGGUCCUGCGCGGACCAUUGGCGCGGCCACGUCGCCCUGUUUUCCCGACGUCGGAUCGUGCGAUCCCGUAGGCAUGUGGAAUUUUGCAAAAAAAACCUUCAGUUCUCCGCUAAUCUACUUCGGGUUUAGGGAGGACCCUCGCCAACUGUAACCACGUUCAAUUUAUUUGCGGCACACCCCUUUGGUUAAAUAAUAUUUCAACAUCAAGAAGAGAAAAUUCCAAUUCUGCGUCGCUUUUGAAAAAAACCACCUGCCUAUCAUUUUGCGAAGAACCCCACCGCAACCUCGCAGCAACACACACUUGGCCCCAAGCCACCGCUCCCUCCCAAUUCUCUCCACAUCCCCCUCUCUCUAACCCUCCCGCCCUACCUGACGGCUGCCGCACACUUUAGUUGGCAUUGUUAGUGUCUUUUGAUGUUCUUAAUGCCUGCUACUGGUUCAGAUUUAUUUCUUUCCCCUUCUGUAUUUAACUAGGUUUGGUAGUAGCUUGUAGCCUUGCCUUUAUUCAACCCUAGCACCAGUAAAUGUAGGCCAUGGAGUUAUAAAAAAUUGAUAAACCAGCCACUUCAAUAAAUUGGUGUCUCCCAAUUCUAACUCUUGGUGCUUAUACCAAAAGCAAGCAUCGGACUGAAUAUUUCUGCAAAAAAUUAGCUUCAAGAUCGCUAUCUACGAUAUUUCGAUCAUUUGAUUUCUUUUCCUUUUCUUUUUUUUUGCGAAACACCAUUUGAUUUCUUGAUGGUGAUGAGUUAACUGUGUUGUGAGGUGAGAUAAUCCAUUGUCUCAAAUCAUUCCUGAUGUUGAGACCUUUAGUAAAAUGGCAUUUUGAGAAUAUUGUGGAUUGCUUUAAUUUUUACAGCUAGUGCUUGCAAACUCUGUAUGUGUCAUUCAGACAGCUUGAUUGCAUAUGACCUUCCUCAACAAUACAUUCAUUUUAUGACAUGCUUUUCAGGUUAGGUUGGAGAAAAAGAGGGCAAACUGAAGAUUGCGCUAAUGAAAACAAAUUUUCAGCUUAUGCUCCAAUAAUUUUCUAAAUCCUAUUAUCAUUAAUUAGUUUGAAGAAACGAUGGGAUCUGUAACCUGGUAAAGCUACCCAUUUAUAUGGAGACUCAAAAGACUUUCUAAUUUGCGCAGGUCAGCAGUGAUUAAAACAUUGCAUAAUUCUUUCUAUUUAUUACCAUGUAGUUUCAGCUUUUGUACCCGUUGAUUUGUCUAUGAAAUUAUGUGCACCGGAUUAAGGAAAGGUUAUGCCAAAAAUGGUGCUAGCUCAAUGACAACAAGACGUGAGCAAUAUAACCUAAUUAUCCAAUUUUGGUUGGUGGACAUGUGAUUUCCACCGUCGAAACUCCAAAAUUACAUUAAAAAUUGGGCCGGAGAAAUUAUUACACAGCUGUUUACCGCACUAAACAAUGAACUUUCGUGGCAAAAGAAAAUAAUAAAAUGAAGGGUCGUAGACAUGCCUGUUUCCAAUUUCUCUCUUGACAGGCCAACAGACCAACAUUGAUGAGAGGGCUACUUAGACUCCCUGAUACAUUUCUCCUAGGAGAGGCCUCGGAAUCUGCUGAAUGUCUAACUGAAGGACUCUAUAGAAUAAAAGAGAAUGUCUGUAAGUAAUAAUCAUCAAAUUUAUUUGUUGAAAGCCUGCAUCAAUCAUCAAUUACACUGCAUUGUGUUAACGGUAGGCCAUGUUAGCUAUUAUGUAUCCAAAAAGAUCAAAUUAAAUUUGAACCAGAGAAUCAAGAAAGAGAUGAAACAGAUGAAACGACCUACUAUGAGCCAAGAAAUUAUCUGUAUGUUUAAACUCUGAAUUAUCAAACAAUUCUAAAUUAAGCUGGUUUACAUAAAAGGAAAAGGUGUGUACUCCGUAUGAGCAUGGGCUUCCUAUUUUUAAGUUUUAAACCUGCUGAAUCAGAACGAUUUUAUGGCAUAGAGGUACUGAAUUACUGAUAAAGAAAACAUUGCAGAGAACAGUAACAUAUACACAAUGAAGGCGGAUCGCACAGAUGGUAGCAUGGCGCAGGGUAAGAAGAAGGCACGGAGCGGCGUUUUUUUUUAAAUUGAUUUAAUUUAGAAUAAAUACCACAGCAUUCUCACGUGGUACCUCUGCUGCUGCACAAAUUAUAGCAAAGACCGUCCGCCGCACGCGUACUGCUUCUACACAGUCCCGUGUCAUAGGCACACCGCACACACGUAUGGCUGCACUACAAAGCCGUUCCCCUGCCGAUGCAGAAGCAGCAAGCCAGCAUUAUUAGGGUAGAAUCAAACACUUUACACUUCAGGGUUACAUUCACAACUGCCUAUGAGCAGGCAUUUACAAGCAGCAGUGCAAUGCUUCAAAUUUCAGUGUGGUAUUGUUUACCCACAGAGGAAUUUCUAUACAAGUUCAUUAUCAUUGCACUGACAAGUGAGAGCAUUGUAGUAAUGGAAGAAUGGAGGCAUGUUCAAGCGUAUCAAGGACUCGAGGUAGCCGAUUGUAUUGCCGUACGAACAAGAGCAGAGCAGCAUGUUUUCUUGCCAUCGCCGCCAAAUGCACUCUGCAGAAAGCCAUCUUCAUUGAUGUGGCCGACGUCCCCGAGCUUCUCAAGGAUCCAAUGGCCGUUCUCACCGGAAAUAUGGAUCUCGCUGAUUGAAGUGUUGGGGAUUCUUCUGCGAACCAAUGUCGUCAUUGGAUUGGCGUGCCUGCAGAUUUCCUCUAUGGUGGCGCCAUGGGAGACCACAACCACACGCUCCCCUGCGAAUGCAACAUGUCAGCGCAACAGCGUAAAUAACGGUUCCAGUUUGGAGUUUGGAGUUGAUGAAGAAUUGGCAGCCAUAGUUAUGCAUCAUCAGGUGCAGGUUUUGACGGAGCUAGUAGCACUACUGUAAAUUGGACCUAGGUUUUAUCUGCUGCAUUGUACUGAAUACAGAUAGCACGAAGGAAUUGAGAAGCUAAAGAGUAAUCUGAAUCAGAUCAUUGCUUACCCUUGUGCUUGUCAGCUAUCAUGUUCAAGUAGGAAACACGGCGCUUGGAAAGUUGAUCAAGACUCUCCCCACCACCCUACCAAAAAAAUGAACGGAUUAGAUAACUAGUAUACAGCAACCAGAAGGAAAAAUGACUGUCACUGAUUCAGAAGGAUUCAAGGUAGCUUUGGGAGGAGAAUGGAAGUUAGUUACAGGAAUUUCUUGGUUUCGGUCAUCUGAUGAGAAAGCCUUUUUAUCGCCCAACAGCAGCAAUGCGUCAACCACAGUGUUAUAAAUCUGCACAUUGGGGGGCAAUCCUCUCACCCUCAUCUCCCCAAGCAAACUCCCAAUCGUCUCCAGAUCACCUUUCCUCCCGAGCCAGUUAACAAUAGAACCAUAUGUCACCACAGUUGGCAAAAAUCCUUUCGUGUCCAUAUCGCCCAACAAAAGCAAUGCCUUCCCAAUGUCCCCGCGCCGGCACAUUGUAGAACACGGCGUGCGGAAUGCACUCAGCUCCCCACCUCGCCUCAAUCAGCUUCAUCCCCUCCUCCACCCGCCCUUCCAAGCACAUCCCUCUGACCAUCGCGCAGGUGCUGUAGUUAUCCGCGCCGCCCUCCUCCGCAAGCAUUUCGUCAUACAGCUUCCGGGCAUCCUCCCAUCGCAGGCGCUCCACGAGAAGCCUGAGCAGGCGGUUGCAGUGCCUCGCCUCCGGGAGCGUGCUGUGCAUCUCCCUGGCGCGAGCGCACGUCUCGGCGGCCUUCCCUUCCAUCCCGGCGUCCGCGGGAGCGGGGUGAUGCGGGGCAGGAGCGGCGGCCGCGGCGCGAGGUGUGGGAGCGUUUAGAGAAAAAGGAAAGAAAGAAAGAAGAAUGGCUAGUUCAGUUGCUCGGUCCACAUUGGAACUGCUGCUUCUUCUCCUUGGUAGUGCUUCUGCUAACUUUCCAAAAAAAAAAUACUUCACUGAAAAUAAAAUAAAAGUUCACUGACAAAUGAGAGCAUUGUAGCCAUGAAGGAACGAAUUUACUAUAUGAUACGGUAGUGUUUCUAUUAACUUUCAAAAAAAAUACAUUUCACAAAUUACAGGGUGAUUGACUAAAAAUAGAAGUUCUCACGGACAAAUGAGCUACAAUGGAGGAAGGAAUGAAGGCAUCACCUAUGCUUUAACAGUCUGUAUGAACAUGAGCAGCAUAUUUUCGGUUACAAUGUACUCUGCGGGAAGCCAUCUCCGAUGAGGUGUCCGGCGUCCCCGAACUUCUCCAGGAUCCAGCGGCCAUCGGAACCGGAGAUAUGGACAACGCUGAUUGAGGUGUUAGGAAUUUUCCUGCCAACCGAGAUCGUUGGAUCGGCGUGCCUGCAGAUUUCCUCUAUGACUGCCUCAUGGGAGACGACGACCACCCGCUCACC